rnacentral:lncRNA from 1 species
AGAGGGAGAGAGAAACGUUCAAACUGAAAGGAAAAAAUGGUGUAACUAUUUUCAAACAAAGGUAUUAAAUGUCGAUGGACAUGUCAGAGACAUCGGAUCAAGAUCCGAGGGUCAUCCACACUUUCCCCUCCGUAACGUGUUAUCGCUGGAUUAAAAUCUGACGACCAACAGGGGCGGAGUUACAGCGUAGACAUUGGGUUCAGAUGAGGAAUUGGAUCCGAGCCUACACAUAUGAACCCCAUGAUUAUAGUGUAAUGAACCCAGUGGUUUCCUUUUCUGGCUCCACCCGUGACGACCAAUCACGUCGACUUGUCUCUAACUAAAAAAAUACAGACGACUUCUUAAUAGCAAAACAUGAAAAAGGAAUAUAAUGUCUCUGUAAAAUAUAGAAAGACGUGGUUCUCCGUUAAGAUGUUGUGGUUAUUUCUCUUCUGUCAGUUGACCAUUUUUGUCCCCGUCUGAUCCAGCGCCGCUCCGUUACCGUACCAUGUUUUUUCACGUCAUUAUCCGUCCGUAUUCCUUAUUUGUUUUUGCAUUCAUAUCAUGUCCGUGCCGCUUCCAAACCAAUGGAAAUUGUGAAAUAAAAUAUGGUACUAUAUAAAAUCAUUAUCCGGUCCCGUUUUACAUAUAUGCUAUAUUCCUCAAGUAUGUACAUCGAUCGCGGUCUUGUAUGAUUCAAAAACAAAAACGAAAUAUCAGUAGAGAGCAAGCGUACAUGCACACGCAGGAUAUGCUUUCGUUGGUUAAUUCGGUGUACGUACGGACCACCGCGAUGUCUCUGCGCCCGUCGACGUCACACACGCUUACGUGAGUGCGUGCGUACAGUCGGUGAUUAAUCGAUCCGGAAACGUGCCAAUAUAGUCUGCAGCCGCGCCGGCUUUUUAUACUCCCUGCAAUCAAUGCACCCGGCCCUCUCGUUUCGGCCGAAAACUGCAUACCACGCUCGAUCGAAUCAUCCAAGUAUACAGAUACACACAUGCUUCUCGAUGACUCGAUCGAUGGACUUACGGUAUAAUCGUACAGUAGUUGCUUUCGCUUCCAGACGUAGGUACACGGAACGACGAACCGGGAAAAACGGCCCUCCUGCUCCUGGCUUGGAAUCAUUCCACCUCUGGUGGAAAUCCUGGACCACCCGUACGUCCAUAUGCUCCCUUGCGAGUUGCAGACACGUUAUACGUACUCAUGUAAUCGCUCCGUUUCAUAAAAAUUGACACGAUUUUAAAUCAGAACUAAGUUAAAAUCAUGUCAAUCUUCGUGAAACGGAGGAAGUACCUGACAGGAAUGCAUGCAGGGAUCAGGCACUCCAGUUUGGAGUUGGAACGGGGCACACAUGUGGAAAAAGUUUCGAACUAACAAGGUGGCGACUGCGACCAAAGCCAGAACCAUUUUUUGUCGAGCACGAUCGAUCGACCUGCAGCGCCAGAGCCACUAGAGGGCCCAGAUCAGCUUGCCCCGCCCCAAUUCCAUGCGUUCCGGUUGUUUCCUUUCGAGCCCCCUGCCCCAGUUGCCUGCCCUUUUAUCUCUCAGCGAUCAGUUACGUUCAUGCAUUCUUGGCCACACGUACCUACACUACAAUCGGUACUACUACGUACAUGCGAGAUAGCUAUGUCCCGAUCGAGCCUGCAAUUAACGGCAACUCGACCGAUCAAUCUGCAAGUAGAGACAGUAAUCUCGAAUUUGGUUCAAAAGCAGGCAGCGAAUCCUGGAACGACCAAGUUACACGGUACUCCUAUGUAAGCUAGUACUAGUACAACUAGUAGCAUGCCACCGGUGGAUCACUCACCUGGGGAUACAAAACCGUUCUCCUUCGAUUAGAGUCGUCUGCAUUAUUGACAGUUUCGAUGGACCAGGCAGACAGAAGCAAAGCCUGGAUGCGCGCGGGAUCCACUUGUCCAGCAAAAGGGCACGAAUCGGGGAGGUCACAGGACUUAAACAUACGAUAGGCCACGCGAGCCAAAGGCGUGCCGUACUGUGCUGCCCCUGCCUGGCCUGUCGUGUGAUGUGACAGAAAAAAAUUAAAGGGAGCGGCGAACCUGCGUUUCAUGAUCAUUGAUAGAUGGAUGGGUGGAUCGAGCUAGUAUUAAGCUGGUUGUGGUGUGUGUGUGUGGAGGGGGGUCUGUCUUUGAAAAGUCGACGCUGCAUGCGGACGUUCAGUUUCAAGUGGCGUGCAAGAUGUUCCUAGUGAAAAUGUGAAAUCAUGGGGGAAAUAGGCGAAGUUUGCAGGGUUGAACGGCACACCGCGUUUGGCUGACGGCUCUAUGCGCGGAUAUGAUGUUUUCUUUUUAACGAAUAUUCUGAUAUUUUUCAAUACCAAAACCGUAUUCGGAGUUAGCUGGCGUCUGAAUUUUAAACAGAAGACUUAAAUCUCCGGACUCUUGAAUUAAGAUCUAAGUGUCAUCCCCACUCUCUCUUCUCCCGCAUGCUGUUGUUGGAUUAAGAUCCAAUGUUCAAACACGUCAGCUGAUCGCUAACUAAGAAACAAGCGACUUCUUAAUAGCAAACCGUUUUCUGAAUCCCCACAUUCGAUAAUAAAAUUCCACCGGGAACCUACCAUGCUGUAUGCAGAUAUCGACCUUCUUUUUUUGGAUUGUGAUAAGUGUAUUUUCAUAGUUUAAAUAUUGUUCACGGUGCAAAUUCCGCCCUUGCGUGGCGGGUUAUUGGACAUUCAACUGUGGAUACCGAGCUUAGCAAAUUUUUGUCGAACUCUUUUUGGAAUGGAAUGGAUUAAUACAAUUUGACUAAGAGUCAUCAUUUUUAUGGUUUAGGGUGGUGGCUGCACCCCAAAACCUACCAAGGAUCGAACCCCAGGUUUGACCCUCGGCGUGUCUCAUUUGAGCCGAAUUUCUUUUGGCAGUAGGAGAUGCAAUCCGUUCACGCUUCACACUGAAGCGUCAGUGACUUCGUCGAUCUCAAAACGUUUUCACGAUUCUGGUCAUCCGUGUGAGUGUGUGCGCACGGCGGUGUACGUCGUGUGUGAUCAUUGUUCCUAAAAUAAAGUACUUCCUUCGUCUAACAAAGGAUGUCUGAAUUUUGAUUAAAUUUGAAUGCAUCUAUACAUCAAGUCAUGUCUACAUACAUCAACAUUUUGACAAACUUGAGACAUCUUUUGCUGGACGGUGAAAGUAUAGGAGCCCGGGAAUAGCCGCAUCUUAUUACAAGCAAUUAAUAUUUCGACCCUGAACCAGUUUGAGCUUAACCCCAGUGGAUCGGAAUCGGGUUCACUGAGCGAGCGAGCGCUCCAUUACAGAUUUUUACAGGCACUGAGGCACCGUCUCUUCCUGCUGCCCCCCUCCGGGGAGCUAGCUGCGUGCUAUGGACCGCCCAUUCGUGGAACGGGCUGUACCCACCAAUACCUACGUACCUGCGCGCCUGCCAUGCCACCCCUCUGCCACGGGGGGCUGUCGGCUCCAAAGAAUCAUGCAAUAAUUACCAGCUUCUUCUAUCGGCGGCAUACAGAGGAGAGGAUUGAGCUUUUGAGCAUCUCGUGUGCAGAGAGAAUCUCUCUGCCCGUUCGCGCCAGGUGGAUGUAUUUACUUGCGCCAGGAGCAAACGAGCAACUCGUGACCGCCUACGCACGUUUCCCCGACUAGACAAGUCAAUUGGUGAAAAUUGGUGAAAUUGGCAGCUAGCUUAUUUAUCCCUUUAUCCAUUCGCACCCACCCCACCCCGGCCACCCUCCGCGCUGCGCAUGCAUGCAUGUCCUCGUGGGCUCUCGAGGACUUGAAGUACGUACGUCGCAUGCAUGCAGAUAAGACGGAGCUAGAGAGAAAGCCUCUUCUUUUCGCUCGUGGCCCGGCAUGUGCAUGCCAAUGGCAAUGCCAGCGUCCCAGUCAGCUACUCUCUCCGUUCCAAAUUCUUGCCUCAAAUUUAUCCAAAAAUAAAUAUAUUUAUUUUUUAAAAACGUUUAUAUACAUGUAAUAGUCCGACAAAAAUUAUGAAACGGAAGGAAUACUGACCAUAGCUAUGGUCAGUACAACUCCUAGUGACAAGUGCAAGCAGGGGAAGUUCAUACUCUAUGUGGGAGGUGCAAUGCAUCUCUCGCUCUAAAGACGUGGUACUCCUAGACUACAGGACUACCACGUACUGGAUUCAUCGAGAUGUGAUGGAACGGUGUACCAGGGUGCGUGGCAUGCAUGUAGACGCCGGGCCGAUCGAUGUAUGUCGAGAGCGGGAUAUGGACAACGAAAAAGGGUGUGGGCAGGGUAGGUGUUCGAUCAAAAUCCACGGACAGUUCCAAACUGAGGAGACCAUGGGGAAACUACUGGACAUCGGGGGUAUAGUGUUCACGUGACGUCAGAACUGGGGAGAGCUACACAACCUCAAGUCGUCGUCUUCUGGUAAGCAAGAGGACCCUUGUUUGGGAGCGCAAUGCAAGUGCAGAUGUUGUGCAGGCGCAGCAGAGACGUGACCCUUGCAGAAGAAAACGCGAAGAGCCGGGUAUAGUGGAUAUGUGGAUGCGUGAAUUAUCGUGGGCCGGGCCGCUUCAAAGCCUGGUAACGCGUGUCGUCGUGGCCUGGCCCAGAUUAUGCUGCUCAUCCGUCCAGCUCGCAAUACAUGAAGAGAAGUUCAAAAACCCGCUGUCCACUUUUGCAUUUAUCCAACGUUUCCUUGAUGAUUUGUCUCUCAUUCGUGAUGUUGUCCAUGCUGUGACACCGGAGCCUCCUCCUGGUGGUGGUCGCCUUGUCCCGCCCACCAACCGCUGGUCUCCUCCGUCGGCUGGUAUGUGUAAAAUUAAUGCGGAUGCUGGAGUUGCAAGGUCAGGUGCAGGUGGUUCUUGUGCUGCGGUCUGUCGCGAUGAAUGUGGAAGAUUCAUGAGAGCCUCUUCGAUUACAAUCGAGGGCAUGACCGACCCUACAAUACUUGAAGCAUUGGCAUGUAAUGAAGGCUUGUCUCUGGCCUUGGACCUUAACAUCUCAAAAGUUUGUGUUGUUUCGUACUGCUUAACGGUUAUCAAGAGUCUACAACAAGAUGAUCUUUGCUAUUAUAGUGCGAUCAUUAAGGAUAUUGUGGCAAGGAAGGAUCAGUUCCGUGAUGCUGUUUUCAGACGUGAGAAGAGAACUCUUUAUAGAGAUGCUCAUAAUCUAGUUAGAGCGGAGUUACCGCUUUCUGUUGGCCAUCAUAUUUGGCUUUUAAGUACCCCAUGCAUUACUUGUAUUCCUGUUCAAGUUGGUGUUGAAUAAAGCUGGCCUUUCCCCUAAAAAUAAAAUAUCCGUCCAGCAGAACUGAAUCCCCAAUAGCGCGGUUACAAGACAAGAAUGAUUAUGUAAUUAUGUUCCUUGUUAUCGUUUCACUUUGCACCACAGAAAGAGUGCUCUGUUUGGCUCCACCAAGGCAAAAGGAAAGAGAAACAGGAACCGAGGAGUGUCUCAUUGUCAAUUACUAAUUCAGCCAACGAACCCAUAAAACAUGUACCGACGCAAAUGCAAUUCAUCAGAAGUGUUCUUCAAGGAAGAACACAGACAGGGUAUCGGACUACCGGUGACUAUGUUUGGAUAUCUUACAUGCUCAGAAUGCUGCGGGCGAGUUAACUGGGAAAUAAUUGAAGAUGAAGAAAGGACACAGCAAGUUACAUAAGCGGCAACAGAUUUUGCUAGAGUGGCACAGCAGUGGCAGGUGCUGGAACAUGCACCUCAAAUACAAUCAGGAACUCGAACUGUUUAUAGCUUUGGACACUUUCUUCCAUCGCAAAACACUUCGAGUUUGUUCUUAUCAAGCAAAUGGUUUUCGAUUAGGCCCAGAUAUGACAUGGUGUUAUUACAUGCAUAACAGCGCUGGCUUGUCAAGCACCACUGGCAUACAGGCGAGUCCACUCCUUCGCUGCAAAGCAAAAAAAAAAUUGACAUGUUAGGUACAAAAAGCAAUGAAAAGUGGAGCAAAAUGACAUGCUAGUGUAUCAAAGUGCAGUGUUAGCGUGCGGCUUUGUUGGCUGAAUUUUCAGUUACCUGUCUCGACAGCUUCAGCUUCAUUGGAUUUCCAGUGUUUUGCCACGUUUUCUGAGAGCGGAUCAUCUGGAUUCGGAGCGCUCAGCAGUGCCUGAAUGCUGCAGACCAAACAUUGUAAAGAGGCAAAAAAAAAAGAGUAUACAAUAGUGGAUACAAGAAGCAACCCUCUGGAAAUACGAUAAUAUGAUACGAUCAUGAACUAUAAUGAAACUAUUUGGCCAAACAUGCCACGGAAGACAGAAGAGGUUGCUACCUCAAAAGAACAGUACGUAUCUGAAGAGCUGGGCUCCAUUUGUCCUUCAGGAUAUCGAGGCAUAUCCUACCAAGCUGCAGUGCAAGUCAAUCCGAAAUGAGAAACUGUUAUCGAAUGAAGUUCCAUUGAGAAUAUCAGUUCCCUACCUUGUCAAUGUUGGGAUGGUAUAUUUUUGUGAGAAACCUAACCUGCGUCAGGAAUAACCAAAGAGUGAUGUCCAUCAGAAAGAAUCACAACAGAGACAACAUACAGAAAAGUCAAAUAGAAUUGUGUAACUACUUUGGUUAGACGACAGUGUCACACUAAAACUAAAACAACCAUGUUGAUAUCCGUAAGAGUAAAACAGUCCAAGGACAGGAGUUGAGAACAAAAUAUUCAGCUACCUCUUAUUUAACAUGAUGGAAAUUACUACUCCCUCCGAUCCAUAUUAAUUGUCGAAAUAUUACAUGUAUCUAGACAAUUUUUUAGCCAUAGAUACAUCCAUAUUUGGGCAAAUUUGAGACAAUUAAUAUGGAUCGGAGGGAGUAUUAGUCUGAGUCUCAGAUGAUAUAUCACAAUGUCAGUACACUCCAAAUAUAGCAUUGCCAAUUAAGUAAAGUAAAGUACGGAACUGUGCAAAGGAGAUUAGUUAAGUGAACGGAGAGAGAAAUCUAGUAUGGAUACGAAAAGUAUUAACACAAUACUAAACAUGGGCAUUCAGUAUUCCUGAUCACAAAGAUGGUAUGCAAAUCUAUUAAUGGUACAUAUCAACAACAAACAUGGGCGCUGCCCAAAAUAAGAUGUCACAAUAAAUUGCUGGUUUCGGUUAACCACAGGCAUAAUUAAACGUCCAUCCCACUGUCGCACCAUAGCAUGAUAAAAUCAUUGCGAAGAUCGCUCUGCCAGAUUUUGAACUCAAAUUUCAGUUACAACUUACAACUAGGAAAUGAACCAAAUUCCACAUCAAGGAGCCUACCGGGACAAGAAAAUCCAUCACAAUAUGUGUCAAACUAAUAACUUCUUAAACAACCAUCCACUAAUACUUGAUCAAAAAAUUACUUUUGGAGCAGCCAUCGGAUAUUCCUCAGGUAAGAAAAGUUCAAGCUUGAAAACUCCACCUGUCCAACACAUAUUAGAAGAAAUAUCAGGAGGACCAGACACAGACAACUAAACAAAAUAAUGUUUCACCCAAUUAAAAAUGUCAUAAGCAAAUACAGUAUACAAAGAUAAGUAAACCAAGCUUAAAUAAAUAAGAUAACAUAGUGACAAAUGUACUGUCUAACAAUAGGAAAACAGGUCGUUCUGUGUACCAUUUAUCAUAUACAUGCACCGCAUUUCAUUACUCCAUGUUGCAUGGAAACAUGGUAGAUAGUUCCUUGUGCCGUAUAUCAGUAAACUUCAGUAAUCGCAAAGGUUAAGGAAACCCAAGACAUUCAAUUCCCAUAGGUUACUGAUAUAUGGUACAGUUGUAGAUCUAGCAUGUUAAGGAAACUACAAACUUGUGCCCCAUAUCAUAUCUAAACUAAUAGCAGGUAUAACUGUUGAAGUAUAAGGUGAAUUGCCCUCAUUUCUCCAUCAGCUUAGGCUUUUAGGGGCACUGGUUCGGCCCAUAUGCAACUCUCCAUGGUAUCCGAGCCAAGAGGUCCCGAGUUCAAGCUCAAUAUAAUAAAAAGGCACUUUUGAUCCAUGAGGGGGAGUGUUGAAGUACGAAAUGAAUUGCACUCGUUUCCCCAUCAGCUUAGACUUUUGGGUGAACUGGUUCGGCACAAGCAACUCUACAAAAGGCAGUCUUCCUAUGUGGAAUAACUUCUACAAAUAAAAAACCAGGUUCACUAGAGCUUAAGAUAACCGAUGAAAUGGACUUGUCAAGCUAUAUUUUGUGAUGGAUUCAACAAAGCAGAAUCUCAAAGUAUAGAAUCCAAAAGGCACAGAAGAGUACAAUUACCACUGGAACAGCUGGGUACAAGAUGGUCGGAUUGCUGGUCUAGCAAACAUAAGUUUAGAAGUGUAUAGUUCCGGCAGCACUAGAACAACACCUUUAUGUGACCAUCCUGAUAUGAUCAUCCAUCUGUGAUGUUUUACUACAUAUUUGCAGCAUUUUACAAACAAAAAGAGCCAUAGAUACGAAAAUGGGGACGCGGUGACCACAGUUACAGUCCUAAAUUGCCACAGAACUACGCAUUCGUGCUCCAAAGUAUUACAGGGUUAUCGGCAUACGAAACAUUCCAACAGAAAUAAAAUGAAAAGGAGGUUUUACCUUCAUAAGGAGACUGCGCCGGACCAAGGACCAUGACAUUGAAGUAGCGCAUGUUCUCCUCCGACGGCGACGCGCUAAUCCCCGGCGCUGCACGCACCCCCCCAACACACGAAUCAGCACAAACAUCCGAGGCUCGAACGCGGACAACACAACAGGAGCAUCGAAUUCUAGGAAAACGAACCUGGUUCGCUGAGCAGCCGCUGCGUCUCCUGCAGCAGAUCCAAAUUCCGAACAGAUUAGGCACCACGCACAAGGAAUAACCAGACGAUAAGGUUAUCAUAUCGCGUUAGAGUCUCAGAAACGGCUGUAGAUCUGGGGGGGUGAGGGGCGAUCGGAUCGCGGGGUAGGGCGCGCGCACCUUGAUGAUCCGGCGCGGGAGGUUGCUGUUGGCCAUGGAGUCCGGCCGGGGCUGGAGCGAGAGCCUAGAGGGGAGGGGGGGAGGGACCGCCUCGAGCUUCGCGCGGCGACGGAGGAGAAGACAGCGCGAGAGAGGUCAAAGGAGUCGUCGAUCUGUCGGGGAGGGCGAGCCGGGGGAGGAGGCGACGAACGAACAGAAAUGGGUCAGGGUCCGAUACUGUGUACCACGUAUUUAUAAACUCCACGCUACAGCCGCUGCUGCUGAUAUUUUCCUUUUCCUCUUGAGCUGGUGUUUUCGUUUUAUACUCUACCGACCUGUUUGUUUGUCCUUCUAUUUCAGUUUUUUUGCAUCUGGCAAUCUUAAAAGCAUCUUUUCUGUUUACACGUGAAGCUGAGAGGCACCUCCGAACAUGCUAAACACUGUUUACACAUGAAGCUGAGAAGCACCUUCGGACGUGCUAAACAGAAAAAGUGCUUUUGAGAUUGCUAAAAGUACCAAAAACUGAAACAGAAGUCCAAACAAAUAGGCCCAGAGUCUGCUGGAUUGUGAAUUUGAAUACGCACACGGCGAAAUCAAAAUACGAAGUCAUGGCCACUAUGUUUAAAAUAAAAUUCGUGUACUUGGACAAAACAGAAGUUGUUCGGUGAAUAAAAAAACCCUAGAAAUGAUUUUCCGACGUAAUAAACGGUAUAAUAGUACUACUAGUAGUACGAGGGCUGCUGCAGCGGAGAUUAAAAAAAAACGGUGUUCGUUUUAGGUGAGCCAGGGAGAGCAUCUCUCCACGCGAAGGGAGCACACAAUUUAUGCAUGUGCAGAGAGAGAGAGCACGGAGAAGAACAACCUUUGGGUUUGCCUAAUUGCAACGGCCAACUUGUGACUUUGUGUUGUGCGCGCUCGUCGUGGAAGGAUCUCAGGCGAAAAGGAAGGUGGGGGAAAGCUCGAUUAUUCUCCGCAGCUUCAAUCCCACGCUAAGCCGCCUGGUCGAAAAGGUUUGGCUGGCCAAACCGGUUUUGCAUGGUACUCCGUAACAUGUUUUUCAAGUUUUUUAGAACUUUGGAGGAACUCGAAACAAAUUGAGAGCAUACGCUUUCUAAGAGUUGAAAAGUAUUAUUUUCGAAGCACGGGCAGUCGGGCACGGGCAUCAGAGCAUCUCCGUUGCCAGUCGCUCGAAGCGAAGAGAAAUCACGCACUUCCUCUGCUACCGAAGCGAAGGCAGGAACAAGAACAACAGCGACGAGACACAGCCAGAAAUUCGGCAUAGUAUUUGCUCAGGGCUAGAUUCCACUGUAUUCGCUGUAAUCUGGUAAAGCAUGUCGCAUGUGCCCAGACUACAGGAGGAUUUCAAGACAAGUAUCCAGUCCUGUCUUAUUUACAACAGAUAGCGUGCAAAACUAUGCUCAAGAAUCAAGAUAGAUAAAUAACACUGGAUUUCCCCAGUACUUGCUACUUCACCGAACUACGGAGUACAACUGGUAAAGAAUAGUUUCACAAGUCGGAUCCUGAGAUCACAAUGAAAGAGAAGAUACAACAGGGAGUAUUAAAUCUGCACAUGAUCACAAGGAAAUCCAGAUGCACAUGAAUCCAGACAAUAGGAAGAACAGGGAACAGUUUGACAUAUUUUUUCUAAUAAAACAGAAGGUCAGAGUUGCAUGCCUACAUUGUCAACAAAAUAAUAGAUGAAUUGCACGAACAUACCUCAACGACUCAAUGUCAACAUGGAUUUACACUAACAAUUUUUAGUCUUUGACCUUUCAUACUCUUCAGAAUUAAUUAUUACCAGACUAAAAACUACAAUGCACCUAAGAACACGAGCUUUCGCUUCAGAAUAUCCCAAGGAUGGUGGGGGCAGGUGGAGCACGCCAUCAUUGGAGAGCAAGAGCAACGCCAUGUCAUUAACUGAUCAUCUUCAAAUGAUAAUCUGUAGAAGAGACAAUGGACAAGAGUCAAUUGAUCGCUUCACCAAACAGUAACAUUACAAAUUUGCUAUACAGGCUCCAAACAAACUGAUUUUCUAUCAGUCUACGCUUAAACAUAGCAGUUAACAGGGGCAAAGCUUAACACAGGCCCAUCAGCAAUCAUGCAGAGAACAAGGCAAGGCAGAUCAUCCAUGGGAAUCACACAACAAUCCACAAGGAAGCAUGCAUUACAUUCUUUGGAAAGCCAAUCAAGAGAAAUCUGGGUUCAGCGAUCGGAAAGAUUUACAAUGGAUAAGAUAUGUCAAAAUUUCAGUACUGGAAACUUCAGUUACAAAGCAAUUUGAUAAAUCUUACAUGCCAAGACAAGUAUAGAAGAUAUAUCUUUAUAUAAUAAUACUGACUCGUAAUUGUUAGGCUUACAGCAAAAAAAAGGUUAAGUUUCAUUAAACAAGCUUAUUUAUCGGUCUCUGAGGAGCUGGGUUACCUGUAGAUAAAUGGGACCAGAAACUAAGAGGUUACCUGUUGACUCAAGCUUAUGCUUAUUUUGGCGAUACACGUACUCUUAGGCUGGACAUAAUUCACCCUAACGAUUCUCACUAAGACAUGAGAAAGGAAUUCUAGUACGGAAAGGAAGUGAAAACCAGCGCAUGUGCAUCCAAGUGACUCCUAGUGAAACAGCACAGAGAGUGUCCCAGAUCGAUUUUAACUCUGAGUCACCAAGUGGUUCGUCGGUAUCAAUUUGAUCCUAACAGAUUCCAGGCAAUACCAUCAUAUGUCACCCAGUCAUGAUUUCCAGGAAAAGAAUAUAAGUAUUUUCAUCAUACAGACAGAAUUGAAGAAAAACUAUUAUUAGACCAUACAUUAUGGUCUUUCAUUUGUCAUGACAAAAAUGUACUCCCUCCGAUCCAUAAAAGGUGACGCCCAUUUUGUACUAAGUUAGCACAAAUUUUGUACUAGGUGGGCGACACAUUUUAUGGAUCGGAGGGAGUAAUAAGAAACACUAAAAGCUCAAGAUAGAAACUAUGAUUAGUUAGUUCAAUCUUUUAAUAACACCUAUGACAUAACAGAGCUGCACAAUUAUAAUUCUGUAAAUUUUAUCACACCCAAAAACCCAGAGAACCAAACGAUAAGAUACAUAAGUACUUAAAUCUACAAUCAUAACGAGAUGGUCAACAUAUCUCAUCAAUGCACAAAAUUAAAUAGAAAAACACACGACGAAAACAUCCACCAAACAUUAUCUACUGAAGACACAAAAUAUAAAUAGAAUCUCACAAAGCCUACACCAGGAUAGAUCUUAUAUGUGAAUAUCAAUGCUCAACAGGACCGAAAGCCUUAUUUAUGAAGGUUAUCGCACAUUUGGGCUAAGGCCAUUGUAACAUAAAAUAGUCCAAAAUGCACAACAUAUGGGGUGGUCGGACUUCGGCAACGAAACUUCAGACAUACUCGCUAGAUUUUCCGAAGCAACAGUAUCUAAACUUUUUUGUUGCUAAUCCUCCGCAGCAACUCGAGCCAAUUGUUUACCAAGAUCCUUAUCGAGAUUAGCUAGAUUAUUAAACCUUGACUGUAGAUAAACGGACAUGUAUGUAACAUAUUGCUCAGAACAAUCAAGUCGGGCUCACCCAAGCUUGUUUACACCCAUAUGAAGGAAAGGCUUAUUGAAUUGCAUUGUCAGGAAAUCAGCACUUCCCCAAACAAACUGAAAGUACCUUUAUUCCACAACCUAUAAACAUCAAUGGAUAUACUCAGAACACAACAGCUUACAUGUGUGGACCUUCCCACCAUUAAGGCCAAACAUAGUAACAAUAAGUUCCACUUAUUAAAAUGUCAUUGUAUACAAGAAUGUCAGAUUAAAUUAUGCCUCUACACAAGCAUACCAAUCCUGUCACUAUCACUGAAAGUCUGAAACAUUAACUAACAGCCAACAUCAUGCCACAUAACUUGUAAUUUUAGCACAUCAACAUUAGCAUUACAGAAACAAUAGUAGCCACAGAUCACAUAAACGAACAAAAACAAUCUACAGCAAUGUUCUAAACUGAAAUGCUAAAACAUACUUUACCUAAAACCCUCGUCCGCAUCAGAGGUAAUUGGAGUUGGAAAGGAAAGGCAGCGCAGCAACGGAUGAAAUCAGCUCCACUCCACCAGCACCAUUGGAUGCAGCCCCUCCGCUCUUCUUCGUGCGCUUCACCCUUGCGAGCUUCACGUGCGCAUCGACGAAGUUCUCCAUGCGCUUCACCUCCAGCUGCUUCAGGAAGUCAAUUCGCUCGCGUUCCAUCUCUAGCGAAUGCUUUUGUUUCGCACUCUCCACGCGCUCAUACAUCUCUGCAAAAGCCUCAAUUGCCCUCGCCAGCUCGCUGACACCACUAUCCCCAUCACCGCCAGCCUCGCGACGAAAGGGACGCUUGUUGCUACCGCCGGAGCGCGCCGACGAGACAGAACGCGACGGUGACCUCCGCAAGUUGUCAUGGUGGUUGUUGUUGUUGUUACCACCAGGAUGAUCACCAGAGUCCUCCGAAUCAGACACCGCUGCAGCGGCGGCAGCGGCUUCCUGCUGGAUGAACGCAGCGGCAGGGAGCAGCGCCCCGCGGCGGUAGCUGGGGAGGGGCAGAGCCAUGGGCGGGGGCGGGGACGGCGAGGAAGAAGGCGACGGGUACUUCCUCGCGGCGGUAGAAGAAGGAUGGACGGGCAGGGCGAGGUGCGGGGCCAUCGCCGGCGAGGGCCGCUUGUUGGCGGCGGAGUUGAGGGUGGGGCCGACGAGUCGGUCGAGCUCGUCGAAGAAGCUCCAGCCCGACGGCGCGCCGCGGACGCGCUCGGCCUUGUACUUCUUCUUGAGGGUGUCGACGCGGUUCUUGCACUGCACGUCGGUGCGCGGCGGGCGGCGGCGCGCGGCGGCCCCGCGGCGCGAGUUGACGGCGUUGGCCACCUCCUGCCACUGCUUCUGGCGCAGGUUGCCGCGGUUGAGCUCCACGUAGCGGCUGCCCCACGCGUCCACCAGCGCCGCCGUCUCGCCCUCGCUCCAGCAGUCCUCCCGGUAGGGCAGGUUAGGGUUGGGCGGCGGCAGCCUCCCAAACCCUCCCCCUCCUCCUCCUCCCCCUCCUCCCGCCGCCGCCGCAGCAGCAGCCGCAGCCAUCUCCCUCACCUCCAUCGGAACCAGAUCUCGCAGGAGCAAACCCUAACCCUAGCUAGCCCGCCCGCCGAGAGAAGAGGACCGAGCGAGCCUCGGGGAAGUCGCGCGUGACGGUGGGCUAUGUGAGCGGUGGGGGGUUCGGGGUUGGAAUAAAAGGACACGGCGAGGGAAGGGGGGAGGUGGGGUCGCCGGCCGCGAGGGGUCCGGGUUCCGUCCGUCACGCACGCGGCACGUGACGCGUGACCGGCGAGGGGGGGGCGGCAUCGGCAUGGCAUAUCUCGCUCGCUCUCGUGUGUCGUGGGUGACCGGAUUCGGAUCGGAGACGUGCCGCCGUUGGAUUGCGUUUGACCGGGUAACCGGCGAUUACUUUCGGGUUUCGGAGGGCGGGUGGGAUAAUGACAGCCAGCCAGGCACAGGCAAAGCAGAGCGCGGCGACAGGCGACAGCCGGAGACCGGACGGAAUACGGUGGCUGGCGCGGGGGUGGGAAAUUACCGCGUUGCCCCUACCCCGGGGAGCAGGCCGGGGCGGCACGCGGCAGGGGCAAGGCGGGGAUUUCGCGUGGGGCGGCGCGGUGUCAGGGGGUGAGCUGGUCGCCGUUGGUCGGUUUGCGUUUCGGGGCCGCCGAAAGAGGGGAGAGGAGAGAGAGAGAAACGCGCCGAGGAUGAUGGGGAAGGGAGAGGAGACUCGCGAACCGAAGACACCGCUGCUCCUCGCUCUGUACUCCAGUCUAGGCUUCUAGCUAGACUCGGCGCGGUGGAGUGGGUGGGUGAAGAGACUGAGGCGCGGGGCCCGCGUGCAAGCAGGCAGGGCGGGCAAUUAUUGUCGCCUCUGGUGCCGUCGCUCGGUACAGAGGACGGACGGACGGACGGCGUGGGCAAAAUUUAAUCGGCGUGCAGCAGGUGCCGGCUGCCGCCUGCAGGCGCCGGUCCUUCGGAUUGAUCGGUGGAUGGAUGCACUCGCCAAUGGCAAUUCAUCCAUCAAACAUCAUUCGUUACUGUAUAUUUUGUGGCAAAUCAAGAUUAGAGGUUCAUCAUCCGUUUACCGUUUUGGUUUGUCCCCUGGCGUCAUCAUCACCGUCUGGGCUUUGGAACUGACAAUAUGGUUCUUUCGGUGAAAUUCAGGUGAAAGUAAAACUCCACCGGUAGAUAGCAGCGGCCAUGGUGCCGUCGUGGGAACAGAGCAGUACGUACGUUACGGGCUCGCGUCAAAUCCUCGACGGAACCGUGCCCGCUGCACCGGUGGGUGAACAGAACACCAUAAAUCCCUCGCGGCCGUGGAGAGAAGUCAGGGGAACCGCGUGUACGUACGUGGUCCUCUCCUGCUAGCUAUAGCUAGGCUGCCCCGUGCGACCGGCGGCGAGGAAACGGCACGCUCGGGAGCCGUCAACAUUGAAUCGGAGGGCCGGGCGGCCGCGAUAGCGUAGCGACCAGCGAGAUACUCAGUCAGUACGGGCUACUUCGGGCUGUCACGCACGCACCGAGCCGGACGGCCGGGCCGACGCGUCGGGCUUGGGAACCACCGGCGCCGCAGGGGCGGGCUCGGACCGCGUCCAACGCCGCAGGCUUUGCAAAGCUUGCGUUGCGUGUACCCCACGCUACCACGCGGGUCCCCUCCACCAAUCAAUUCCAGGCCGGACGGACGGCCGGUACCGUGUACCGACGCGUCGCCCGCCGGAUCUCCGUGGCGUUUUCCUUUGCCUUUAGUUGUGUACCCGCCCCGCUUCACGCCGGCCUUGUGCGGCAGUUGUGUACACACACGCACGCACUUGUACUACUACUGGUGGCCUUGGACUUUGCUGGUUGCUGGUGCGCACCCAGCUUUUUGCGAACGGUUCCGGGAAACGCCGGCGGAAACUUGUGCGGCGGGUCGGUCGGUUGCCGGGGAAGGAAGGAUUCUUCACACAAGCAACGUGAGAUCUGACCAAGGGGAGCAGCAGCCAGCCAGCACGAGCAGCAGUUCGGCGCUGGAGCUACGCGCGAGCUGGGGCAGGAGCUACACGCCAUGUACGUUGCGUCCCCGGGCCGGUUUGAUUUACGACCGGAAGAGCCGCAGCGUUUCCGGCGCGAUGACCGGACAAAUUAGCCGGCUUGGCCGAUGGCUAUACUAUAUCGGAUUGGACAUAUGGAGUGAUAGUGCUCCCGACAGGUAGGAGACGGACGGACGAGAGCGAGUAAACUGCUGCCUGCGACUCUGCGAGUCCUGCCGUGCACGGCUCCAUGGACGGACCGCACGUCCAUGGCCUGUGUAGCUCCGACCGCACCGGACGCAGGCAAGCGGGACGUGCUGUUCAUCCUGCAGACGGGACUGACCCAAGUUAUUGGAGACGCGUCGGCAUUGAAGCCUUUUCCAUUCUCAGGAGCAUGACGUAAUCACGGGAUCACGCACGGCGUGGGCAAAAGAUUACCAGCCGCGCCGCGCGUGCCUGACUGCCUGUGCAGCUGUGCUAUUUUGAGUGCAGAAUACAGUUCUUCAGAACCGCGCCUGUUUUUUGAGGCUAACUGAACAUGCAGUUCCAUACAAUUUCAAAACUCUACGUAUAAUACGGAAGGGUAAAAGAUACUGAGGCGGUCGAGACCACUGUCGCGACACGCGAAGCCUGAAAUCGUAGCGGAUUUACUUUUUCUUUCUCUCGGGGCAACGUCCAGCAACAGCAAGUGACUGCUUGCCGGUUCAUCUGGCCGGACUGAAGGUGCAGAACUAUCUGCUUCCAUGACCAUGUCAUCUUACUGAACUGAUGUUGAUGUUGAUCGAACGGAAACUUGGUAUUAGUGCAAUUUGCAUUUGGUAGACGGGGGGUGGGAUGAAGAAGCUGCAGCGCAUUGGUCAGGGCAGCAGAUGGAAAACGCUGGAGACGGAGGUCAAAGAAGACGCGCGUAAAGGAACCGGUCAGAACAGUGACUUCCUUACUGGAUUUAGGUGACAGGCUGAAAAUUGUUUAUACUUUGGCACGUUGCCUGGGACACAGCAGUGGACAAGUUCGGUUCGGAGAAUUCUAUCCUCCAGUCAUGUUCCUUCUCGGUGAUUAACUAUCAGCUCAUCUGCCAAUCACAUGUUCUGUGGUGACAGCAGCCAGCAAAAAUAACCGAACGGAUUAGUGAUCGCCUAGAUUAUGUAGCUCAAUUUGCAUGCGUAGUUUCAAACGGUAUAAAACGAUGCCUUCGAAGAAAUGGGAGUAGUAAAAAACAUGUGGACUCGAUUUGGGCCGGGCCGCGAUAUCUUCGGUUCUCCACCCUCUUACGCGCAGCGUUUCUUCUCAGUGUCUGCUCAUCACUUGCGUUAGCUUGUAUUGUUUGCCUUCGCUUAAUAUUAGUGCCAUGUUAUCAUGGCUCCAUCGCCCAGUCGAACGCCGGCUAUCAGUUCAAAUUAUGGAUAGUCUAUUGGCUUUGAAUAAUGCGUGUCCUUGCUCUGAUUCCGUUGAGUGUCAUUCCAAGAGUAGGUAUCUAUCAGAAGAAUUUUCAGCAAAUGUCAGUGCUGCUUGAAGUCAACGAGUACUAAUCACAACAUGUGUGAACAUUUGCCAUCCUCCUGCGGUGCACUCUGACCUGCAUUGGAGAGCUGUAUUGCAGCCUGAAGGUCUUCUUCUCUAUUCUACUUCUACAUAUCUACCCACGUGUAUAUGCAGUAUCCUCCGAUGGUUUAGCCCAUGGGCAAUGCAGUUGUCUGCUUCAAUUCUUGGUGUUUCAGAACUAGUAGUACUACUAGAUAUGAUCAGUAUGCUGGGGACAGGACAGUAUGAAUGUACGAUAGAUAAGGUCCUAGAACAUGGGCCACAGGUUAUGCAGAUCGCAGACACGAGUGUUUGGCUGGAACUGAUCUCCGAAUGCGAGACUCCGAGAAACGUUGAUGCCGCUUUCUGUCGAUCACCUUGAGCCAUUGUCCGUCUGCUGGCCUGGCAGGGAAAGUCUACGGAAUGCCAUCUCGAAAGCCAUGGAAAUUCUGUUUUGCCUGACAGAACUCUGGCGUACAUGAGCAACAGCGACCGGAGCGUGGUUUGCCUGCGUGCUUGACUGUAUGGUCACGACGAACACGAGGUGGCGACCAUCCGCCGCGUUAUCCAGGACUGCACCCGUCAGAGAAGGAUCCUUCACUUUUUGGGAAUCCAAUCACUUCGGGAUCCAUCAGAGCAGAAGACACGGCCAUUUCGCCGGCGGCUUUCCCCAUACAGUGCACAUCUCGUGAACUUCCGUCCAUAUUUUCUGGCCAAAUUUGCAAAGGAUUUGUGCUUUUCAGAGUGCAGCAAACGUAGCAAUACCAGGAAACUACGGAGUAGAAUAGGAAGGAACGUACGCCUGUUUGUUCGGGCGGCAAAGUCAGAGCGACACUCUCUCUACUUUGUUUGUUCGUCAGGCCAGGACGCCCGCCAAACCCGACAUGGAUAACUCCAUUAUUGACGAUGGAAAGUAGAAAUCUGACCCCGGGGGCACUAGCAGACGACACUAUCCACAUUGUCUUCACACACCGAGAAUAUGACAAAAUAACAUGCAUUCUUAAUUCACCUAUCGUCCCCAGUACACACCAUCAGAAAACAUCUUCGAUCUUCUAAGGCGUGGAUGCAUUAGGGGUGCGUAUAAAAAUAAUCAUACUCCUUCCGAUACAUAAAAAGUUUCCCACAUUUAGUACAAAAUAUGUACUCCCUCCGUCGAACAAAGGAUGUUUCAACUUUGAUUAAAUUUGAAUGCAUCUAUACACUAAGUCAUGUCUAGAUACAUUUAAAUUUUGACAAACUUGAGACAUCUUUUGUUGGACGGAGGGAGUACUAAUUUUAGUACAAAAUGUGUGACACUUUUUAUGAAUGGGGGGAGUAUCUCCUAGACUCUUUUGAUUCAAAUGAGUUAAUCCUUCAGAAUUUUUUCUAUGUAGGCUUAUUUCAUUCGUAGGAUUAGAUUUUAGUGGAAAUUUGCCUAUGGUUCACUUUGCACUGCAGUGAUGCAAACCAGAUUCCGCGAAAACCCACUUCUAGUUCAUUUUUCAAAUCUUCAAUUCAAAUUUUGAGCAAAAAUUUGGAUAAAAGACUUGAGAAUUGAACUAAAAGUUGACCAUCAAUGGGAUCCCGUUUGCAUCUCUACUGCUCUCAAUUCCAAAGUAAAUUUUCCAUCUAAAUCUAAUCACUUGAAAAAAUUCCUUUGUUUCCAUGAUAACUAUACCAAUGCACGUAAUGUUUUUCUCUGUUUUUCCUCUAAUGCUAGAUUGAGUCUGUUUUUCCUUUAAUGUUUUUCCAACUCGAUUAGUUUAUUCAGGUGGUUUCUUCCUGUAGAAAACAACAUAUCAUGACAUUUCAAUCUUGUGUUUGCUAUUUCAGGGCUCAUUCACUCUACAUGCGUUUUAGAUGAUUUUUCUACAAGAUUUCAACUCUUACACCUUGUUUGGCACAUGUGGGUUUCUUACGUUUUCUAUUUCUACUCUACAAUCUUAAAAUCAUGUUCUCCUUCUGACCUUUGUUCUCAAAUUUAUCUAAAUACGGAUGUAUCUAUGUUUAAAAAAUGUCUAUAUAUAUUUAUAAUAUUUCAGUAACUAAUAUGAAUCGGAGCAACUAACUCGAACGAGCCCUCGGUGUUUGAAUAUUUAAAUACUCCUGAAUGCAAGUAUAGUUCUGCACUCCUACUGCAGCUUGCUACCACGAAACUAAACAUUUCUCUUUCUGCAGCCCCCGACUCGAUCUAGCCGCAGUCCAUGUCGUUCUUUUCGCCCUGGCGUGUGCAAGAGUCGAACCCAUAGUGUGAACAAUUGAGUUAGGCACGAGCCGGAGAGGAGGAGAAAGGACAAAUUAUUGCUCAGAUUAAUCAUCACCUCGAUCGUUGCGGCGCAAUACCGUUAUAUAACGACGGAAUACGGGCCCACACGUCAGUGUAAAGCGAGCUGCUUGCCGCUUUCUCCCUCUUGCGUGACGCCGUCGCCGUCCAGAGCCAUCUGGCCACCGGGCUCCCAGCCCCCCACAGAUGUGCCCCCUGCAUGCGCGCCAUGUAUCAGCCUCUGAUACGUCAGGCCAGGAACCAUCCUCAGCCGUCAGUUCGUCCAUCUCGACGGCUGCGAUCGCGCUGCCGCCACUUAUAAAUAGCACCGAUGCACGCGCGAGAAAGUCCGUUUUACCUUGCUGGGGGGGGGGGGUUUUACUUACAUGAGCGCGGGAAUGGAGGCGGAGCUGGAGGCGGCUCAGCGGCGCUUCCGGCUCUGGUUCCGCGGGCUGCGUUCCCUGCGGCGGGACCUCCGGUCGGCCCGCUGGGCCGGCGACGACCCGGCCCAGCUGGGGAAGCUGGCGGGCGGCUUCGUGGCCCACUUCUCCGACUACUGCGCCGCGCGGGCCGAGCUGGACCCGGUCCUGCUGCUGUCGGCGCCCUGGGCGAGCCCCGCGGAGCGUGGCGCCGCCUACUGGCUGGCCGGGUGGCGGCCGACCACGGUGGUCCACCUGCUGUACACCGAGUCCAGCCGCCGGUUCGAGGCGCAGCUCCCUGACCUGCUCCUGGGCGUGCGGUCGGGCAACCUGGGCGACCUCAGCCCGGCCCAGCUGGCCCAGAUCGACGAGCUCCAGCGCCGCGCCGUCGCCGAGGAAGACGCGCUCUCAAGGGAGAUGGCGCGGCUGCAGGAGGGCCACGGCGUCGUUGGCGGAGACGGGGAUCUGGACGUGGAGGGGAUCGUGAGGCGCGCCGGGGCCGUGGUGGCAGGGGCCGACGCGCUGCGGCUGCGCACCUUGAAGCGCGCCGUGGAGAUCCUCGAGCCGGCGCAGGCCGCCGAGCUGCUCGUCGCCAUGGCCGACAUGGAGAUCGGCUUCCGGGAGUUCGGGCUAAAGCACGGCGACGGCGGUGGCGAGCCGAGCCGCGGCGCGUAGGCAUAGGCGUGGCGCGGUCCAGAGAGCAGAUCCUCAUCCGCAUCGGCGGCUCGGCCCAGUUUUUUUCUUCCAAGUGUUUGCGCUGGUUUGACUGGGACAGAAAGACUGCUCACUGUUGUAAUCUUGUUGCCGUGACGAUUGUCUUUGCCGAACUGUCUCGCGGUGGGUGCUGCGUCGUAGCUGGACCGUGUGCGUGUGCGUGUGCGUGCGCGUGCGCCUGCUGGGAUGUCGUGUGAGAAAGCAAUAAAAUGCAAGGAAUGCAUGCUUGGUUUCGUUGAGAAGUCAUAUUUUGUUUUCGAGCAAGCGGUUUUUUUAACAUCUUUUCCGAUAAAUUGGCUGUUUGUCUGUUCACUACAGAAGACCCGUCCUUUUAAAAACGGUUUUGCUAUUAAUAAAUCCAUGUUUUAGUUAGAGUAGUCAUAGGAUUUUAAUCCAAUGAUAGCAAGUGAGAGAUGAGAGAACGAGGAUGACUCUCAGAUCUCCAGCAGUUAUGAAACGUCGACUGAUAUUUAAGGUUCAUUUUUUAAAAACUUGCGACUUAGAAAUAGCCAUACCCAUUUAAAAAACGUGUUAAAUCUUAUUAAAAUAAGAUUCUGAUCGAUAACUUAUUUUUAAUAGGUAUUGCUACGGAAAAGUUGUUUUUCUAGUUAAAGAUAAGUUGAAACACCAACUGUCAUAUCUUGAUCCAACGGCGGCACAUUGAAGAUGGGGUGUAGCUGCUAGCUUCGGCAUUGAAGAUGGCGUCAUGGUAGGGAGAAGCUAUCAAGUUAUCCGAGAUAGAGGAGGCACUGAUGGAACACAUCCGCUUGCUAGGCUUGUAAUCGGACAAAUAAUUCAAACAGCUUUGCUAUUCAUAAGACAAUUGAGAAAUAAUUAUUUUCAAGCCGACGCUAACAAUCGUUUAAUCCAAUCUCUGAUAUGUGUGAGAUCUAUACAAGUGUUGUUGACUGAAAAUAACUGCUUCCUCCGCGCCUGGAUACUCGUCGUGGUCCGGAAAUCCAACCAGUUGUUCGUUCGAGCCAGAUCCAAACGACACCGGACAGACAACCACGGGCGGUUCUACCGUGCCGCACGGUCACGCGCCCAAUUAACCGGCCACACGGCCAAGCGAAUCCAGGAUUAAAAAUAGGAAUCGCGUACAAUUACCGGCCACCCAGCCAGGCAGCCCGCAACGAUAAACCAGCAGUCUCCCGCUCCAUGUUUGGGAGCCAUGCCCAACUACAAACCCAACGUUUCCAAGCUGGCCGCCGCGCCCCGCGACAUCCACACGGCAGAUUAACCCUUCUUCUCCUUUCCUUCCUUCCUCCCUCUCCGCGCGCGCGCGACCUCCCGCAGACCCGCCUCCGCGAAUCUAGCCACCCCCGCGCGUGCGCCACGCACCGUCCGUCCGUCGGACCUCGGCCGGGCCGGCCCGCGGUCGUCGGCGCGCGGAGGGCGUUCGUGAGAAUGCGUGCGGCGGCGAUUGGUUGCUAGCUAGCUAGCGGCAUGCCUGGCAUGAGCGCGUGAUGGCGCCGCCGUUCCUGAAGACCGGGCACGGCCGCGACAGGUUCUCCUUCAGGCGGCGGAAAUCGUCCUCCUCCUCGUCCUCCUCGUCGACGCCGUCUUCUCCGCUCUCGGUGUCGUCCACAGCGUCGGAGGACAUCGCCGACCCGGGCAGCCCCAUGGAGUCGUCAGCGACGACGGGCAAGACGCUGCCCUGCGCCCGGCGGGCGCUCUCGCGGAGCAGCUGCGGGUCCAGGGGCAAGCUGUCCGUCGACCUGAUCCCGCCGCCGCUCGCCGGCGGCCCGUCCGACGCGCCCAGGUCCUCCACCUCCGCCGCGCCGCCCCCCAAGCCUCCCCCCCGCAACGAGGGCCCGCCUUCAGGUCUCACCAUUGUUAAUUUUCUAGUGUCUGUCUGACUUUCUGUCGUCAAAUGCAGAGAAAUGCCUUGUUAUGUUUUCGUGAUCGAUUGCAUGUAUCCAGAUGCUGACAUCGUGAGGGACAAGUUCUCCAAGCUGCUGCUGGGGGAGGACAUGUCCGGCACCGGCAAAGGGGUGUCCUCUGCCCUCGCUCUCUCCAACGCCAUCACCAAUCUUGCAGGUAAUCUCUCCCUUACCUUCCAUUUCCGAUCUUUCCAUUUCCAAUAACAGUCCCUGUCUUUCAAAUCUUCCCAUUCUGUCCGUUGGGUUCUGAUGGAUACUGACACGAUCAGCUAUGAUUUCUUUCUCAUGACGUGGCACAUUGCAGCUUCCGUGUUCGGUGAGCAGCGGCGUCUCCAGCCGAUGGCCGCAGAGCCGAAGGCCCGAUGGACAAAAGAAAUUGACUGGCUUCUGUCCGUUGCCGACCACAUCGUCGAAUUCGUUCCUUCACGUCAGGUGUCCGAGGAUGGCUCCACCAUGGAGGUCAGAAACAAGAGGAUCCUUGCUUAUCACAAGUACCUGGAUGUAGUUCUGUAUCACGGAACAUCUUUAUGCAAAUCCAAUUACAGCGGUGCUAUUUUUCUCUCUCUCCCCCCAAACAGAUAAUGAUGACUCAGCAGCGUAAGGAUCUGCAGAUGAACAUCCCCGCACUGCGCAAGCUCGACGGGAUGCUCCUUGUAAAGCUCUGCCACAUUCUUCUUUGAAAUCAUUUACGAGAAUGACAUGCGUGGAGAUACCUGAUGAAUUGCUAAUAUGCUAUGGCUGCACAUUUCCUGUUGUGGGGGCACAGAGCUAUCUUGACAGCUUCAGGGACAAGCAGGAGUUUUGGUACGUGUCGAAAGACGCAGAUGACUCGGAGAAGGGAGACGCGCCGAAGCAGGAUGACAAGUGGUGGCUCCCGACUGUCAGGGUCCCUCCUAAUGGUCUGUCGGACUCGUCGAGGAGGUGGCUUCUACACCAGAGGGAGCUCGUCGGCCAAGUCCAUAAGGCAACAAUGGCCAUCAAUGCUAAUGUUCUUAUGGAGAUGGAUGUUCCAGAAGCCUAUAUGGAGUCUCUGCCUAAGGUGACCCAUAUGAACACAGCAACAUUGCAUAACAUUUUUCUUUACUUCGGUUCACUGCAUUUAGAGGGAUCGAGACUCACUUUGACAGCAUCUUCUUUUUUUAUGCUUGAUAGAAUGGAAAGUCUAGCCUUGGAGACUCAAUGUACAAGCUUAUAACUGACGAAUAUUUUGACCCAGAAGAACUCAUAGCAUCAGUAGACUUGUCAGCCGAGUACAGCAUCGUUGAUCUGAAGAACCGAAUCGAAGCCUCGAUUGUCAUUUGGCAGAAGAAAAUGACGCAGAAGGAUGCCAAGAUGUGGGGGCAUGGUGUCAGUCAUGAGAAGCGGGGACGGUUUGAGGGGAGGGCGGAGAAUGUUCUUCUCCUCCUUAAGCACAGAUUCCCCGGAAUUUCUCAGUCAGCUCUGGACAUAAGCAAAAUCCAGUACAACAGGGUACUGGCAACCAUCUUCAAUUUUCCACUGUAUUUUCGGAUUUCCUACAGUACUUUAUUACUCAUGCUCAUUGCAUACAUUUUCUCGUUGUGAUUUUUUUGCAGGAUGUUGGCAGUGCCAUUUUGGAGAGCUACUCCAGGACUCUUGAGAGUCUAGCAUACACGGUUAUGUCUCGCAUCGAAGACGUUCUUCGCGCCGACUCCCUUGCUCAAGACCCCAAGAACGCGGAGGCGACGAGAAUGCCGAGCUUAUCAUCAGAUGACACAGACACGGUCGUCCAAGAUGCCAAGGACGAGGUGGAGAGGCUGGGAAGAAUGGAGCCUCUGAACUCGACACUAUUCGACUACGUGGGCCCACGGGACGGAGAUAUCGGGCCCAUGAUGUCGGAUUCACAGGAACCUCGGGGUGCAAAGCUGUCAAAGGUUUCGUCGAUCGCAACCAAGAGGUUCUCCUACCUAGAUAAGCUUGAGAAUUUGGGUGGAACAAGGAGCCCCAUAUCUAGACACUAGUCGCUGCCGUAGGGGAAAAGACGAUCAAUAUGGUGUUGAUGUUGCUGCAGAGACUCCGGGGAAAACUGCACGUAAAUAGCUCCGCAAAAACUGAGGGUGCAGCAUGCAUUGUGAGGUUUAUGUAAGCUUUCAAGCUUUCAGGCACCAAUACCUCCAAUUUGGUGCAGUUGCCAAGACAAUGUGAUGACGAUUCUCCUGCUAAAUUUACAUGAAAUAACCACAAGAUUCUGACACUGGACCUGAAAAUGGACCUCCAGAUUUUCUUACUGUACUUCUGUAGCAAAGUUUUGUGGUUCCAGUAAAGUGUUUGUUAUCUUAGACUUGACUUGCAGACCAUGCUUGGGUUCGGCUAGUGUUCUCCCCACGUACAAUUUAAGAGGGUAAUAACAUAUCACUGAACUUGGAGAUCGAUCUGUGUUAGCUUCUGGCGUUCUAGAUCGGCACUGUAAUAAGUAACUGUAACUGUACCAUGGCUCUAUGCAUUGGGAAAUUAAAACCACUCGUAUGAGUAAAUCAAUUUACAGGAACAAAUGAGCAGUAAAAAGCAUCCUUCCGGUUGCUGAUAGUACGUGCAGCUAGGCACGCCAUAUGAGUACAUACAACGAAGGACUUAACGUCCAGAUACGCAGAUCCAUGGUACACAAGCACAGGCAUAUGCAGGAACAGAUUCAGAGAGAGAGAGAGAGAGAAAGAAACUGAAACCAAAGCUUUAAUCAAAUCAGAUCAGAUCUUGCCGCGUGGGCCGGGGGUGGGGGGAAGCUGCGGCCCCUUCUUGAUGGGCAGCAGGUCCGGCGACGUGGUGGCGCCGAGGUAGGCGAUCAGGGACCCGCCGCCGAGGAGCAGGAACUUGAGCAGCAGGCCGCGCUUGGUGAAUGGCGCCGCGAAGGUCUGGAAGAACUUGCUCUGCAGCCCGUUGUAAGGGGACGGCGCGUCGGACCCGUACAGGUCCCACUGCCCCGUCGUGUUGCCGAUGUCGUCCAGGUCGAAGUACACGCUCUUCUCCCCGUACUUCGCCUGCACCGCGACGCCUCGUGCAGGCCUGCAGGCGUACGCGCACGCGUAUAUAUACGGUUAUUUAUACGUAUGUACAUACGCUCGAUCGAUGACAUAUUAGCUCGCUUCACGUGCGUACCUGCGGGUGGAGCGGCAGAGGGAGGACGGCCGGGCGGUGGCGGCGAGCUUGCGGCCGGACAUGGAACUGCCGGCCAGGCCCUUCACGGCGGCCGACGGCUGGACGGCGACGAGCGACACCAUUGUUGUAACAGUGGGAUGUGUUCUGAGCUUCUUUUUCUUUUUUUUUUUGCUGCGGGUUACGUGCGCGAACUUGAUCCAGUGCUGGGGAUAUUUGGAAGGUGUGCUGCUGCGGGGCUGAUCAGGUUUGGGUGGGAGAGGCUUGGCGGGGAUGGGCGAGGCCCCCAUUGGGAGCGCGCCACGCGGCAGGGUUCCGGAUAGGCUUAUCCUGAUCGCUUGAUUCUUGGGAGGGAUGACAUGGCGCGGCCAACGUGGCACCGGAGCUUGCGUGGGGUUGUCCAGCUGGGAACGGGCGUCGGAAAAGAUCUCACCAGAUGUCCCCGACGGCAUCGAUCGAUCGAUCACGGUCUCACUGAGAUAUGGUGGGCCGGUGGGCCCAGAAGCCCUCUAGCUAGGUGCUAGGACAGUGCACGUAACGUACUCCGUAUUGAUCAUUGAAGGAAAGUAAAGAGAGAUAGGUAGAGAAGGACGUCCACGUACUCCGUUGCAUUUUGCAAAUGUUGCACGUACGUACGUAUCAGCACCAGGAUACAUAUGCAACGUGGGCAGGCAGAGUACGUAUAUUGUAGUGUAACGUAUUGCUAGUCGAUCUUAAGCACCUUCCGCUUGGCCGGGGAUACUAAUUAACCGGUAAAUACGGCGGAAGGGAUGUGUACAGGCGCGAUAUAUACAGUGGAUCCAGAUCUGAGAUCGAUCUAGCUGAGCCUUGCGUACGUGCUAUAUACACAUCCUCAUCCGCGAUGGGCAAGCGCAUGCAUGCAGGGUACGCUUCUACGACAAUGGAGCAGCAAAGGAAUUGACGCUACGCUACGUACAGCGAAUCGAUCAUGCACGGAUUUGCGAAUCGAUAUCUUCACGAUGCAUGGCCACAGGCAGGAUGGCGCACAAGUGUGCUGGGAGCGAGAAGACGCGACUAAAAAAAUAUGUGAAUGCGAUGAGCCGGGCCAGGCUGCCAGCUUUAAGCCCAGAUCCAGAGCGACAAGCAAGCCGUUGUUGCACGCCCAACACUACCAACAUGGACCCGCUUUUUUUCGGCGGGCCUGAAUCCACCGUCUAUACUGAUGCCCUCUGGCCCAAACGAGAAAAGAAAUACCAUACAGUACGGCCGUUUGUUUUUUGUGGGUAUACUGUACACAGGUUGGCGCGGCUAACGAAGAUGCGAGGGCACAGGGAGGCGCACCUUCCUCGGUUCAGUUCAGUUCAGUUCAGGCCGAGAUCCACCGAUCCGCGCGCGCACAGCGCACCGGUGAGAAAGCCAGCACCGACGACGCGGCGCCCCCACGCCACCAGCCAGCCACCGGCCAAACGCACUAACCAAAACCUCGCCGUCGUCGUGCGCUCCCGCCGAACCCCACCCUAGUUCUCUCCCUACUACAUCUCCACGGCGGGAGCUUUGCGCAGCUCUCCCCCGCUCCCCGUGCCACACUCGCUCCUGCACCUCCCGCUCCCCGUCUCCCUUCCCGGCCUGGGGCGUCGGUCCCCAAUUCGGGUCGGGGGGCGCCGAGGUCGCGAGGCGGAUCAGGAUCUGAUCCCGCGCGGCCGGAGCGGGAGCGGUGGGUCGGUCGAUUGGGCGGCGCCGGGAUCAGAUCUAUGCGCGAGAUCUAGCCGGGCGUGCGGGCGGCUGCUGGUGAUCGGAGCCGGACCCGGAGGGGAGUGAGGGAUGGCGUGGUGGUCGGGGAAGGUGUCGCUGGGCGGGCUGCAGGACAUCGCCGGCGCCGUGAACAAGAUCAGCGAGAGCGUGAAGAACAUCGAGAAGAACUUCGACAGCGCGCUCGGCCUCGAGGAGAAGCGCGACGACGAGGAAGGUAUGCGCCACUCAUGCUAAAGCCGCCCCCCCCCGACCCGACCCCUUUCCUCCCGUGUAGCCGCCUAGCCGGGCAGCAUUGGUGCAUGCUUGGCUGCGUGCAAGUGUCGAUUGGGAACUGCGAUGGGAUUUUUUUGGUUGAAUACUGCACUGGGUCAUGGGAUUGUCACUGGCGGUAAUGCUGUUUGUAGCGUUGUUCAUGCGAUGAUUGGUUAGUUAGCUAUCGAUAGUGUAUACUGACUGAUGUGAUUGUAGGAAGCAGAAGUUUGAAUUCAGGUCAUCGCUGGUUCCAUUGCUCUCGCAGCUUCUUAUGUAGAUAGAUUAUUGCUUAAGUCUCGGACUCUGUAAAUUGGUCAAGCAAAACCCCAGUCCCUAAGUUUCGUAUUUAUCAGCUGCUGCAUUAUUGAUCAUUGAUUGGUCUAGCCAGAUCAUAAAAACUUAUACAUACUUCUUAGUAGCGUUGGCAUUACAACAGAUUUUGUAUUGCUCUUUCCUUUUGAGAAGUAAUGGAACUUGGAGGCAGUGAAUUCAUGCCUAUUCUCAUAACUUUUUUCCAAUAGUUUUUGUUCUGAGUAGCAUCGCUAGGAUGAGCAUAUUUGGAGAAUAUAUAGCUUCUAAUUGUUCAUUUACAUGGCUAACGUGAGACCCAAAAAAUGUGUUUUUGGGUGAUCCAGGAUCAGGAUCACGUACAUCCAACUCUGAUGGAAUAGGAUUCUUUAAUCCUGUCAUGGCAUUUAUGGGACAAAAUGGUGAGGAGAACUCUACGGAAGUAUCAGAAAAGCAACAAUUGCCAAUACAUUCGUCAGCAGAAGAAGAAAAUCAUAGGGUCACCACCGAGCCAGCUACAUCUGAAGCAGAUGCUUCUGAAGUAUCAGUAACAACCCAAUCUCCAAAGCAGCUUCCAAAAUUAGAAGAGAAUGUCAGCAGCUCCACUGAGCUACCUGUAUCUAAGGUGGAUGUUCCUGACCAAUCUGUAACACCGCAAGCUCCAACACAUCCUUCAGCAUUAGAAGAAAAUAAUGGUGGCUCCACUGAGUCACCUACAUCUAAGGGGGCAACUUCUGAAGUAUCAGAGACACCGCAGUCCCCGAUACAUCCAUCUAUAGCCGAAGAAAAUUCUAGUGGCUCCAUUGAAACUAGUAACUCAGUUGAGAGGGAAAAUCAGGGUCACGAAGGUAAUGAAUAUUCUGAUCCCAAUGACGAAGCUUUACCGAGCCAGCUUGGAGUGUCCGGCAGGGACAUACCUGGUGGUGGAACAUCUUCACCUAAUAAAUUAGAUCAAUCAAGUGUUAUUGGAGCAGAAGAAUCUAUUCAUGAUGGAAAGGAUGACACAAAUGGUAACCAGUCACAGCCAGCAGAUUCCACGGUAGCCAGUUCAGAUGAUGUAAAUGAAGGCAAUAAGAUUGGUCAAGAAUUUGAUGCCCAAAAGGAAAUAAUCAGCCCACAUGAGAGCAAUGUUAUCGAUGACAAAGCCAGUCAUGUGGAAGUCAAGUUACAUGACGACGCUGCUGAGAAUGAAGAAGAAAACAGUCAAACAGAAGCACAUGCAGUAUCUGUUGUUGAAAAUGUGGAUAAUACAGUGUUGCAACUUGAAAACCCUACCUCAAAGUCGAUAACUAUGGAUGAUGAUUCAGACUCGCAAAAUGAGUUAGCACCCGCUUCUGUACAUGUUCCUGUUGGUCUUGUAGAAGUUGGUUCUCAUGCAAAUGAUUUGAGAAAAGAAGAAAAGAUUCAUGACUCUGUAACAACCAUAAAUUCUCGAGAAUCUGUUGGUUCUGUUGUUGAACUAGAGAAACUAAGACGUGAAAUGAAGAUGAUGGAUGCUGCAUUGCAAGGUGCUGCAAGGCAGUCCCAGGUAUCAUUUCCAAAAUCCACAUGCUCUAGCAUCUACUGUAGCAAUUAAGUUAGUAACAUGUUUGGUUGAGGAACUAGACAGUGAGUAUAUCAUCCGAUUCUAGCCCACUUGUUUGGGUUGAGGAAUAGACUCGGUUAGUCCAACACCACUUCAUCCUUCAUAUGCAUGAGAUUGGCACUAAUGGGAAUUGAGUCAUCCCACCAAUUUGAUUGAUCAUCCCAUGUUGAGGCAACUCAUCUUGGAUUGAGGCAAUCCCUCGAACUAAAUACCCCCUUGAUGCAUGUGUGGUUGAACUUGUACAUUAUGAAAGUUACUCCUGGAUGAUUCAACUUGGAAGCAAACCUUUAGUGCAAUCUGUUUGAACCAAUGAGUGCUUGCUAAAUUGUCUGUAUAUGUACCUUUUUAUUCAGUCUGAAUCUAGUUUACCCGUGAUGUGGAUUCAUCUCAUAUUUUCCUUUUUUUGGGGUGUCAUGCUUUACGGAAAAAAACAUAAAAUAUGUACAGUUAUCUAAUAUUUCAAAGUGCUUUGUAGUGUCAGAAAGGAGCAUAUCAUGCAAUUAUCUUUCUUCUUUUCUGAGUAUUAUAUUCUGAUGCACCGAGCCGGUCAUGAGGUAUUAUGUGCUUCAGAUGCGUUCUUAACAAUGAUCGUCAAAACAUUGUAUAAUUUGAAUGGCCUAUGGCCCCAUGUUAGUCAUUUCUUUGCAACAUACAUGACCCUUCACCACCUAUUUAGGUUCUAACAACACUUUAUUUUUCCUACAGUCCAAAGCUGAUGAAAUUGCUAGACUGAUGAAUGAAAAUGAGCAAUUGAAAUCAGCAAUUGAUGAGCUCAAGGUAUGUUUGCUAAGCAGAUUCCUUAUCUUUUGCCUUCUGGACAUAAACAUUUGGGAUGUCUUUCAGUUAAUUAACAAAAAAAGGAUGCCUUCGGUUUAGUAAUCACCACAAUUUUGAGUUGAAUUAUGUGAAAAUAAACAAGAUAAAUACUGAGUUGCUUGGCAGCUCCUUUAGCCUUUGAUGAGUGUUAUAAUAAAUUUUUUUACUGUACAGGGUAAGUCAGCUGAAGAAGAAAUGGAUGCUCUCAAGGAUGAAUAUCACCAAAGAGUAGCAACUCUUGAAAGGAAGGUGAGACACAUUACUUUUGUUACUCAGUGCUACUAUUGACAGUUGAUCAUUGCGUAUUGCAUACGGCAACCUGAUUUAGGACUAAUAAUCAUGGAGAACAGAUAGAUACAAGUGCGCUAAAUGCCGCUAAGACCAGAGGGUUGAUAAACAAUAUACGAUAUUACUCACAUACAAUAUUGUAAUUACUAAUUACAAUCUUCAUGCUUUUUGUGCGGUGGUAGGCCUGGUAAUGGGGCUAAGCCCGCACCGAAUCCAAACCACACCAUAACAUCUCACGUGUAUUUCCCAAUCGCAACCAAACCAGAAGUGAAAUUAGAAAACCCAAACCACACCGCACCGUACGACUUCUCCAUCCAAUCCGCACCAAACCAAUUCAGAAACCGCAGGCUCCGGCACCACGGUCAGGCUUCGAUGGAGAUAGGCGGAGGGAGGCAGAAGCGGGGAGAUUGAAGGGCGACCGGUGGCGGAGGGUGUUGGACCUUGGGGACACUGGCGACGUGCAGAUCGGGAGGAAAAUGAUGUUGGGGAGCAGAUUGGGAGGAAGACGAUGUGGGGGAGCCGGUUACAGUUUACGAAGAAGAGGAGGCAGGGGGCGCCGGCGGCGGAGCGCCGGAUCAGGCAAGGGCGGCUGGCGGUGGAACGCCGGAGCAGGCAGGCGACGACAUCGGGAGGAAAACGAUGUGGGGGAGCCGGUGACAGUUGACAAGGAGGAGGAGACAGGGGGCACCGGCGACGGAGCGCCGGAUUAGGCAAGGGCGUCUGGCGGCGGAACGCCGAAGCUGGCAGGUGGCGGCGAGCGCAACCCCGUCACCAUCACAAGGGGAAGUUGAGGCCGUGCCAUCAUGGUCUUUGUUAUUCCAAGUGGUGUUCAUGGGCUGAAACCAAGGUUGGAGACCACGGUCUGAGCCCAAUUCAGUUCUAGACCGGUCCAAACCAAACCGCACCAGUCCAAACCGCAUUUGUACUAAUACCAAACCAGCCCAGACCGAUUUUCUAUCCCAUCCAUUUGAAACCGCACUGUUUGAACCCGCAUGCAAAACCCGCACCAAAAAAACCGAACGAACCUGCACCAUUACCAGGCCUAUGCAGUGGCUCUAUUUUGUUAUUCUUUUUUUUUGCAUUCUUUGUUUUAAUGGUAAAAUAAUCAAAGAUUCUCUUCUGUGCUUUAAACUUUGAACUUUAUGUUAAUGGUAAAAUCAUGGUAAAAUAAUCAAGCUAUUUAGCUACACUUUGAACUUCUUUUUCCUGCAAUUCUUCUAUUGUUGAACCCUUUGACUAGCUGGGGCGCAAUUACAUUUAUUGCACUAUGGUUAAUUUUGUUUUUCUCUUAAUUCAGUUCAUCAAGAAAUUGAGUUGAUAUUUAAUACUAAAGUUGUGUUUAGAGUGAGGCAAUGAGCUGCAUUAGUAAGGUUCCUUAGAAUGCUAUUGUCAGAAUCUCAUAAUCCUCUAUGUCAUUUUUUGUCCCUUCCGGGUUCAUAACUUAUAUUGCCAGUGUCCUUGUUCAUAUAUACAAUUAAUCUUGUGCAUAGCACUGAAAUGUUUGUAAUGUGCAUGCCUCAAUGUGUGUAGGUUUAUGCACUAACCAAAGAACGAGACACAUUGAGGAGAGAGCAAAAUAAGAAAAGUGACGCGGCUGCUCUUUUGAAAGAGAAGGACGAAAUUAUCAGUCAGGUUAUGGCUGAAGGUAUGCAUAAUUGUGAUUUUUAUGCUUACUGAACAUAUUUUAACUAAUGUUAAGUCAAAAUAUGUUCUGUUGUAUUGUUGAAAACAAUAUGAAAUUGCCUUUUCUAUUAUUUAAAGACAUCCAGUGAACAUUCCAAAUAUUAAUGUUACCAUACGUUAUGUUGCACCGUGUCGAGCACCCUUUAUUGAUUAGAGUCAUUUCAAUCGUGACUUCAAUGAUCAUGCAUGAAUAUGUACAUAUUAGUAAGAUUAGAAAAAUAUGUAAUUGCCUCCAGAACAUGGAUAUAAGACCAUAAAAAUGACAUCACAAACUUUUAAACCACCUAUCACUUCUGUAUGGGCCUGUACUCUGCAGUUUAUCGUGUGAUAUUUGGAAGUUUUGUGUCUUUAAGCUAGCCUUGGUUGAGUGCCUUACUGCUUUGGUUGGAGCUGAAGUCCUUGGCUCUCUGCUGUAAGGCUCUGAUCUGGCUACCAAUGGUAGUUGUAGAUAACUAGGUAUUAGGCAUGCACAUUUUCUUUGUGAAAAGGGCCUAAUGCCCUAAUGUGUAAGUUUGCCGUUAUUCCUCCAUCCGCUGCUUUAGACCAUGUACAUACUAUAGCCCCCCAUGUGAUCAUGUUCACCUUUUUAGUAUGUUCUGGACCAUGAUUGGCAAUGACACUAACAUCUUGUUUUUACCAAUGGAACAGGCGAAGAGCUAUCCCGAAAACAAGCUGCUCAAGAAGCUACUAUACGGAAACUGAGGACGCAGGCAUGGGAUAUGACUCUAUAACCAUACUACUUCAUCAAAAUUAUAAAGUAGGUUUUACCAAAGUAAUCAAGUUUGCUUUCUUUUUUUUGGUUGAAGCUAGGUUCGUGAGCUUGAAGAAGAAAAACAGCGGAUGAACUCAAAGAUCCAGGUAAAAAGGAAAAUCAACUUUGUUUUAUUAAUGAAUGAAUAAAUAAAUUAAUUGACCCCAACUAAAUUAUUUUCUUAUCUGCUUUAAUAUCAUAAAGUAUUUUUCUUUGCUGUUUGCAUGAUUAAAAAAAUCAUUUCUGAAGCUAUUUUUUAUUGUUUGUUUAUUCCUAUUUGUUUUGUUCCAUUUGAACAGUAGUUUGCAUCACCCGUACAGCUUGUUUACAGUUUCAUGAGUUCGUUACAGUCAGACAUGCUUUUUUCUUUCUUACUUGGUUGAUGGGCAACUCUGAAAUAUUGCACUCAGAGAUUAUGGAGUUGAUCUUCAUCCUUUUUGUUUGCUCUCAGGCUUCAAGUGCAGUCACUAACUCAGCAAUUUUCUGACUUUACAGGUUGAGGAGACAAAGGUUGAGAGUAUUAAAAGAGACAAGGCAGCAACCGAGAAGUUGCUACAAGAAACAAUAGAAAGAAAUCAAUCUGAACUUGCAGCUCAGAAGGAGUUCUACACAAAUGCUCUUAGUGCAGCAAAAGAGGCUGAGGCAUUAGCUGAAGCAAGAGUCAACACUGAAGCCAAAGUUGAGCUUGAGAGCCGUUUGAGAGAAGCUGGUGAAAAAGAAAACAUGCUGAUUAACACAAUUGAUGAGUUGAGGAAUGCUCUCACCAGACAAGAACAGGAGGUAUGCUAUGAAAAUAUUCGUCUGCACCUGUGCAUCUGUAGUUCAACAUCCUCGGUACAAAUAGUGUGUAUAUUGUGCUGAUCUAACCAUAAUCUACAUUUGACUCCUGGAUAAAAACUUCAUCUGAUAAUUAUUGUUUUAGCUGCCCACUUUCGAUUCACUGAUUGCAAGUAUUUCUUUCGUGGCAUUUCAGGCAGCUUUCAGGGAAGAAAGGCUAAAAAGGGAUCAUGAUGAUCUUCAAAAGCGGUACCAAGUAAGCUCUUCUGUUUUAGCUGCUACUACAGAGUACUGUAGUCAUGGACCAAUUCUCAAUUUCUUUCAUUAUUUAAUACUUCAGGCCAGUGAACUUCGUUAUAAUGAACUGGUUACACAAGUUCCUGAGUCGACCAGGCCACUCCUAAGGCAAAUUGAAGCCAUGCAGGUAUGAGUGCUUGCUUUGGAUUUUCCUUGUGCUGUAAUUGUUUCGCUGUUCUUCUGUUAGUUGGUGUAUGCAUCCGAGUCUGUGAAUUGAGUUUUUCUGCUGUUGUAAGUUGGCUAAUCAGUUGUGUUUUAAUUUUAACAGGAGUCAGCUGCUCGAAGGGAAGAAGCUUGGACUGGUGUGGAGAGAACCUUAAACUCUCGCCUUCAGGUCAAUUCUGUUCUGAACUUUUGGUUUAACAGUGAUGUGCAGAAAAACAAUGGAGAAAACUAGAACUACAACAUGGACCUUAAAUUGUUAUAAAUGUGCAAUGAGCAGGGACAGCAGAACAAAAUGGACAUAAACUUUGACAUUAAGUCAUUAAUAACUGUUUUCUUGUAGUUAUUUAUGCCUCUGCAAAUGUACAGAUAAAGAGGAGUGGUUGGGUGCUAUCUAUCUUUAGUGCAGUCGGGCAGUGUCAGGAACACAAACAUAAAUAUUUCACUGACAUAGUUUUAUCUGUCCUACUCAAAUAUGCAGGAAGCAGAAGCAAAAGCUGCUGCCUCGGGAGAAAAGGAGCGGUCCAUAAAUGAGAGAUUGUCACAAAGUUUAUCACGCAUAACUGUUUUGGAGACCCAGGUUUGUGCAAUAAUUUCUUCUAAAAACAAAAACUUGUGACAUUAUUGUAAGUCAACCCGGGUUUUUGGCAACAAUUUGGGGCCUUUAGUAAGAAAAGUAUUUAUUUUGAAAUGAACUUUGUGUCUUGUGCAGAUUACAAUUCUUAGAACAGAGCAGACACAGCUGAGCCGAUCUCUUGAAAAAGAGAGGCAGAGAGCAUCUGAAAGUAGACAGGAGUACCUUGCAAUUAAGGAGGAGGCGGCAAUACAAGAAGGACGCGCCAAGCAACUUGAAGAAGAAAUAAAGGAGCUUAGAGCUAGGCACAAAAAGGAGUUGCAAGAAGCAGCAGAACACAGGGGGCUGCUUGAGACGGUAGUCAAUUUUCUCUGUGAAUCACUUCCUGAAAAGAACUGGAACUACAUGUAUACGGAGCAAUGUUUCUGCUGCCAAUUUCAUUGAUGAGACCUAGAAACACUUUGUUUAACAUAUGACAUAAAAUUUGAACUUUGGAGGCUAUCUUAUAGCAGGCCUAUUUUAGGAUCAACCGGUAUUUGUUUACUUCGUUGCUUUCCCUACGUGAAGAAAAUUAGUUUUAAAUGUCACUAAUCAUGUGCCUGCCAUUAGAUCUUCUAGUUCAUACAUUACCAACUUGGCAACAAUUUAAUGUGUCUAUUAAAUUCUUGCGUCAAUUGCAACUUCUGAAUUUCAGGACCUUGAAAGGGAAAAGGCUGCCAGAGCAGAACUUGAGAAAACAUCUUCCCGGGAGCCACCUAAAAUUCCGCUUCCAGAUCAAACAAGUAUGCUCUUUCUUGGCCUCUGAUUAGUUUCUGUAAGUUCAAUCCAGCUUUUCUUUUUUGUUGCCUUACCUGUGACUCUGUUGGUUUCCUCUUUGCUUUUCUUGAAGGAAAUGCUCCUGUCAGAAGGCUCUCUAGUGCUUUGAGUGUUGGCAGCCUGGAAGAAAGUCAUUUCCUUCAAGCAUCAUUGGACUUAUCAGAUAGUUCAUCAUUGGAGAGGAGAAUGUCAGCAGAAAAUAAUAUGUCAUACUAUCUGAGGAGCAUGACUCCAAGUGCUUUCGAGUCAGCACUCCGUCAAAAGGACGGAGAACUGGCUUCUUACAUGUCACGCUUGGUAUGUAUAUGUGCGGAUGCAUCCUUCUAAUAUUUCUCCUAAACUAUUUUAUUUUAUUUUCUUGCUAUAUAUAUAAAUUUGAUAUUACUUCUGGAAACUGACAUUUGCUGAUUAUUCAAGCUAUUAUUUCAUAAAGUAUAUUGGAGUAGAAAGCUAUUUUUAGCCGAUUUACACCUGAACUUGUGCAUUAUGGAUGUCUAAAAUAUUUCUAGUUAAGUUUAGCACUAGCUUGUGCAUACACACACUAUUUCACACUCCCUUUAAAAAUUGGUGAAACUAUAUCAAGUUGCUGGCAAACCCUGAGCCCAACUGUAUGUUGCCAUAUAGCGUUUUUUUUUGGCUGUUUUCAUGAGGUGCCUGGUUACCUAACUUAUAUCAUUCAGCAUCAUCUAGAAUGUAGUGGGCCAUUUACUCCCUGGACAUUGUAUCAAGCACUCAUCAGUCCCAUACUAGUUUUAAAACCCUACGGGUUAAUUACUACAAAUUCAUGUGUCAUUCUCAUAUAUCCUAAUUUGUGAAGAAGCAGGAGCGGUAGCUUGGAAUAGUUCCACGACUUGUGUUUUCAUAAGAUGUUUUACCUUUACAUGUUUUGCCCACUAGAAUGGCCUACACCAUUUGAAGCCAUCUAUGCUGGCAACGUUUCCGUAUCUGUUUCAUGUUCUAUCAAACAAUCUUCAGUCCCAUACUGGUUUUAAAAGCCUAUGUGUUAGCUACUACAAAUUUGUGUGUCAUUCUCGUAUAUCCUAAUUUCUGAUGAAGUGGAAGCAAUAGCUUGAAAUAGUUCUGUGACUUAUGUUUCCAAAAGGAUGUUUCUUUUAUCAUGACAUCAGGUCACCCUCAAAUGUUCAUCAUUUAGGUUAGGUUUAGGAUAUGAUAUGUUUGUACUACUUGUGCUACAGCCUUGAGAGCAUUGUCGUAGACUCCUUGGGUAUGCAAUUGUUCUAAUACUUCGGCCUUCAUGCUUUAGUACGCUAAUCUCUCUUGCAAUUGGCACUGAAUAAAUGUCACUUUUAUAUUACAGGCCUCAUUAGAAUCUAUUCGGAAUUCUCUGGCGGAGGAGUUGGUGAAACUGACAGAACAAGUAAAUCAUUGUGAACCAACUAGACUAUAAUUUCAUUAUAUAUGCGGGUGCUAAUUGAACUGGUUUCGUAUGCAGUGUGAAAAAUUGCGGACUGAAGCUGCUGCUCUGCCUGGCCUAAGGGCUGAACUGGAAGCACUGAAACAAAGACACUUUCAAGCUCUAGAACUUAUGGGUGAACGUGAUGAAGAGGUAUUUCUCACAUGCAGUGCAUCUCACCAUUACUCUCUGUGUUAUUGACUUGUACCACAAGAUACACCAACAAUAUAUAAUCCGUCAUUAUAUUUAGUCUCAUAUCAUAUGGAAAAGGGAGUCCUCUUCAUGAAUCAAAUUGUGGUAGCGAGCUUACAUAGUGGAAUCCUGUAAUUAACUUCACUAAUUAGUAACCUGGAAUUUCUACACUAAGUAGCUUGUAGUGACUUUUGGUGAUUGCAACCUAGCCCACAAACCCAGCUGUUUCAGUCAUAAAACCUGUAACUCGUCUGGUUUUAGAUUUGAUGUUGUUUUUCAAACUUUGGUUAUUGAAAUGUAAACAUCUAUUCGCUGUAAUUUGUUGAAAAUGAGGGUCUGUAUAGAAAUUGCCAUGGUAAAGGAAAACUAGAGGUGACCUGGUCUCAGUUUACGGGGUGGUUACUGGUUGCUAACCACCGGUUGGAACUGCCAUGAUGGCUGGGACUCUGGUUACAUUUUUAUGCACACUCUGUAGCUGCCGUAUAAGAUGGUCCUGAAAAAUGUUUUAGUAAAUUCAAUUAAUAUGACCUAUUACCAAUACUACUUUCUGUUAACAAUGGAAUGGACCCAUGCAUAAGCUUGACAAUGAACUAGUUGUCUGACAGUUGGCAUAAGCUGCCUAAUUUAACCUGUCCGUAUUAGUGUCUUCUCAAAGGGAUGUGAAUUCAAUGCGACAUUGUGUGUGCACGAUACACUUUCGGAUAUCUUUGUAUUAUUGUUCCGUAGACCCUUACCUUCUAUUUCUUUCAUACUUAUUAUGAAAAAAAAUCUGUGCUGUUUUGCAGUUAGAAGAGUUACGAAAUGAUAUUGUUGACCUAAAGGAUAUGUACAGAGAACAAGUGGAUCUUCUUGUUGGCCAGGUUUGAAGUAUAUUGAUUUAAAUUCUGCUUGUCAUUGCGGAACCCUGAAAUGUGUUGCCCUAAAACAUCAAUUUUCCUUUUAUCAGCUCCAGACAUUGGGCGCUCGUGUAUAGCAGUGAAUUUGACAUCCCAUUUAAUUUUUAAUGCACUGCAUCGACCGAGACCAAGAUAACAAUUUUGAAGCCUGAACAUGUUUCUUCAGAAUUCGAACUGAUGCGAGUGUGGGAAGUUCAUAAUCACACAACGAGUGAAGAUAUUAUUUGUGUACAUUUUGAAGCAUCUUUGUUGUUGAAUUUAGUAGGAUAGUUUGUUGUAUACUAGAUUGAAUAGCUUCACAGUUUUACGUUUACAGAAAUUGCAAAAAAAUAAUUUACUGAAGUGUACCAAAUUUGGAACCUACAAGUGUAUGUCGACGUCUCUAAUAAUAUGGAGAUCCUGUUUUGACAGCUUUGUCAGGUUUUCUGUCACUCUGUAAUCCAGGAUUACUUAGUUUGAUUUUUUGCUAGUUUGGAAAGACUAAAAUAUAUUAGAUUAAGACCGCGUAUUGUGAUGUUGCCGCAAAGAAAUGUAUCCAGCCUGGGGAAAAGCUUCAUUCCCAGGUGCACAAUAAGGGUUGUAAAUGCACAGGAAUAGGAAAAGCACGUGACUACAAUAUCAUGCCCCAAAUUGUAUAGGAUUGUGUUUAUGCCAACUUUUUUUUUAUAUAAGUGUUUACUCAAAAGUUUGUUUGAUUCGAUCAUAGUAAGAAAUUUCCAACAGGUUUGAUCAAUAGAAAAUUUCCUAUGAAAUGUGGUUCAAAGAAAUUCUAAGAAAAAUAUCUAUAAAUUCAAUCCUACAAAUCAAACAACAAAGAUAGCAAAAUUUCCUAAGGACUUGCAUUGAAAUAUUGGAGGAUUGGAAAAGUUCCUAAGGACUUGCAUUGAAAUAUUGGAGGAUUGGAAUACUUAGAUUUUUUUUUUCCGGUGGGUUGUUUGAUUUGAAAGUUGAGUCGGGUGGGAAAUCUUUCUUUAGGGUUCUUUUGCACUGUAUUUUAUAAAAAAAGAAAUCUUUUCAUUCAAACCUUUAGUGAAGAUUCAUUUGUUUUUCCUUGAUUCAAUCAAACACAACAUUGAUGUCACCACAAUCUUGUAUUCAAAUAGGCAUGGCAUUGCAAUCCUAUUUUUCAAAUCCUACGAAUCAAAGAGAACCUAUGGAACUUUACAAGAUUACGAUGUUAACAUAGAUUGGAGUUGCAAUGAAGGAUUUUAUGUGAGAACCUAGCUUUGCUGCGAAUUAAAUCUCAAACACUAGAUUUUACGAGAGAACCCAACUUCGUAGCGGAUCAAAUGUCAAAACGCCGCCAAAGAGACGGUAUGUUUGAUACCACUCAGUCAGAUCCUUCUACGUGUGAUCGACAAUUCACCAGAAGAUACUUUCUUUUGUCCUGAUGUUGUUGCCAGAGCAAUCUGGCUUUGUAAUUAUCCAAUCUUUUGAUAACUCCUCUAGUUUGCUUUGACGAAAGACUGACAUGUGCAAAGAAACACUACUUAUACUGUUAUACAUGCCUCCAAUAGAUUAAAAAAAACUUUUACAGCCUUCCAACUUCUUUUCAACUCUUUCCUCUUUAGGUUCCCAAUGAGAAUUGCUCAGUCUUUUAACGUCCACUGGAAUUCCCUCAUAAGUUAAGGGGAGACUACCCAUGUUAAAAUCGAAAAUUUUACUAGAACAAACACUUCUUUGAGCAAAAUCUCUUACACGGUACAACUCGCUCUUAUGAAAGUUAACUUUCUGACCAUGAACUAGCUCAAAAGCACAUAAAACGAAUUUUAAGUUUUUGUCGUGGACCAGAUCAUCCUUAAAUUGACAAGCCCCCCCCCCCCCCCCUUCUGCUUAAAAAGGGAUAAAAAAAGGGAAACAUGAGUUGUUGAACUGCCAUUCGAGUCCAUGGUUUUUUUUUUCUUUUCUUUUUUCUAGAAUACACCCAAGCAGGUGUAUCAUAUAUUGAAGGAGGAUUCCGCGACGCAUUUACAUGCCCGUAGGCGCCAGUAAAGCGACCAUUCUAUUACAUUCCACAAGGGAUCCACUAGACUAGAAAGCGAAAAAUCUACACUAUGAAAAAGACCCGCGCUCGACCAUGCCCUUCCUUCACUGUUGAUCAUUUGUUGUAUCUUUCUAGCACUCGGAGUUGCUGCAUCGAACACCACCGAGUUCCUGUGCUUCCAGAGGCACCAGCAGAUGAGAGUAAUGCUAGUGUUGAGGUUCCUCUUCUCUUUCUUGCCUUGCACCACAAGGCUCGUCCACCAUUCGGCAAGAGAGGCUUGCGGAGUAGGGAGCCAGCAAAGCCUGUUCCAGCCCCGCAGCGAGGUCGACCACACUUCCCGAGCCACGACGCAACCAAGAAGAAGAUGGUCAAUGGUCUCAUUGCUUUGAUCACACAAAGGACAGCGUGCCGGGUGGGGCAAACCCCGCUUCGAAAGCCUAUCCGCCGUCCAACAACUAUUUUUUAGAGCCAACCACAUGAAUGUCUUGCACUUAGUUGGCGCCUUGGAGGACCAGACCUCAGUAGCCCCCGCAGCAAGCACACGACCCCGGAAGAAAGCCGCGUACGCAGACGAGGCCGUGUAGGUCCCAUUGUCGCUCCAUUUCCAAUGGAAACGAUCAUCAUCGUAUGAAAGAAUCACCUCAGCCACGCGGUCAUGAACCACCAGAAGAUCCACAAGCGCCUGAAAGCAGAGCUCCGGGUGGAUGGCCCGAAGCCAACCAUUGGCAUGCAAAGCCUCGGCCACAGAAAGCCUGGAUGCCCUACGCAAGAUCUCCGAUAGCAGCGUAGGCGCCAAAUCCGCAAGUGAACGCCCCUCCGGUAGCCAAGGAUCAUACCAAAAAUGUAGAGCUUCACCAUUCCCCCUUGCCACCUCAAUCGCCGCCUCACAAAGUGCCCUGGCCUGUUCCGGGAUUUGGAUGUUGAAUUCAGCCCAUGGACGCGUCGGGUCCACAUGACAUAGCCACCCCCAUCGUGUUCUGAGUGCAAGAUUGAGAAGCUUCAGAUUAGGGAUGCCUAAACCACCAAUCUUGCGAGGGGAACUGCCUUUCCACAAGAACACACGACAUAUCUUCUCUAUGCCCGCAAUGGUCUUCAUAGGAAGGUUGAGAGACAUCAUGACAUAGACCGGCGUAGCUGAGAGGGUCGAUCUAACAAGGGUGAGCCAUCCCCCAAGAGUAAGCAUAGGGACGGACCAUGUCUGGAGCUUAUUCGCCACCUUGUCCACCAUAGAUGAAAGUUGAGUUGCCGUUGGCUUCCGAAGCCCGAGAGGUAAGCCCAAUUAGGUACAUGGGAAAGGCCCCACCUCACAACCAAGCGUGCAAGAUCAAUGGUCUUGACAAAGAUAUUUAAAGACUUGUAUUGUGCUACCGAAUUCAUAUUAGCAAACGUGCAAGAUCAAUAUUUGUUUAGUUUUUUUUUGACAACAUAGAUCAAUAUUUGUUUAGACACGAUGAUUGAGCGAGUACAUGCGAUGUAACAGUCGGAAAAGGUUUCACACAAGUUCAUUUGUCAGUGAACAAAUUAUCUGCAUUGCAUUUUUUCAUAACAAUACAUGGACGUCUGUUCCGUUGGGCUCAAAAAGAAUUAAACAAAAAAUAAACGUCGACAGCAGGAUUCGAACCUGCGCAGGCAAAGCCCAACAGAUUUCGAGUCUGUCUCCUUAACCACUCGGACAUAUCGACCCACUUGGUCUUUUAUUCCUCUCAGUAUUUAUAUACAUGACUAUUCUGUUAACAGAUUGAUGAUUUUUUGUCAUUGCUAUAACCAUCUUUUACAAAAUAUUUGAAGCUUGCAGCAGAACAUGUAAACAUUUAUUCCUUUGAGAUGCGGGGUCAUAAUUUCUGCAAAAAAAAAACUCUGUACCCUUUUCGCAAGAAAAGAAGGAGAGCUAUCACCUGAGUACUCCGUAUUUAGCAUUCUUUAAUUUACAUACUAGUGCUCUAGAAAAAAGUUGCAUAUAGCUUCGUUGCCAAAUCAGACGGGCACUCGGGGCUGCAAUUGCAUGAUGGGCAAUUUGCCAUGCAUUAUUUGACGGAGUACCAACACGGAACACCCGGAAGCGUGAGGCAGCAGGUGCAUUCUUCAGUCAUUCAGUCCAGCCUUCCCUUUCGGUUUCUCCGCUGCCCUUGCCUAGCUAGGCUAAGCUUGUUUAGCUCGUAACAUUUCAAUGUUAAGUUUGCUAUCUUCCAAUGAGGAGUCCACUGUAGUAGCAUUAGCAGUUGGGUUGGUAUGGCCAUCUUGGUAGCUUCUUCUAGCCUCGGGACUUUACAAUCGAAUGCAUCAAUGCAAGAACAUAUGCAUUGUGAUGUACUAACAAGGAUCGAUAAGUAGAAUGAAAUCUGUGUCUUGUUCCAUUAAAUGAUGAUUAUAUUUAUACAAGAGGAAGGGACACCAAUACAUGCAUUGGUGUCCCAAGUUUUGGGCAUUCGCAUCCCGACACAGACGGUUACAACAUUGACUGCCUAAUUAACCAUUAAUUAACUAAUAAUUAAUUCUAAUUGAUCAUAAAUAAUUAUUCUCAACACUCUCCCUUGAUCAAUUUGCUCCAUUGAUUUGUAUAUUCUUGAAUCAUCAUGAAAUCUUGUAAUUUCCUCUAAAAACCCUAUGGGAAAAAUAUUGAGGAAAUAAUAAUAAUAUCGAUAUGUUAUGAAAAACUCCCUUUAAAAAUCCAAUGGGAAAAAUAAGGAGAAAAUGGUAUAACAUAUUUUGAAUAUUGUCUCUUGAUAAUUCAUAUUGAAUUAUAUGAACAAUAAAUAUGCCUUGUAUAUUAUCCACAAAAAUCCCGGUGGGGAAAAUAUAAAAUAUGACAUAUAAUCUUAUGUUAAUAUUGUCUCAUUAAAAACCUUUUAUGAGAAACUAGUGAGUAAAACUCAUAAUAGGAAAAGAGUGCAAUAUGAUGUUAUGAACAGGUUAAAUUCAGGUGAAUACUCCCCCUAAUGCUUGCAAAUUUUUAAGUCGUCGCAUACCAAUCCCAUGUACACAUUUUUUAAAUGUGGAGUUGGGUAAGGACUUAGUGAACAAAUCUGCGAGGUUAUCACGUGAUUUGGUUUGCAAGAUAUUUUUCUCCCCAUUUUGUUGUAAUUCAUGAGGAUAGAAUAGUUUAGGUGCAAUAUGUUUAGUUAUAUUGCUUUUUAUAUAACCUGUUUGCAUCUGGGCAACACAAGCAGAAUUAUCCUCAUAGAUAAUUGUUGGUGAUUCAAUCAAACCAAUACCACAUGAUUGUUGUAUAUGGUUAAUCAUUUUGCAUAGCUAUACACUUUCACGAGAUGCUUCGUAUAAAGCUAUUAUUUCUGAAUGAUUUGUGGAUGUAGCCACUAUAGUUUGCUUAGAAGGCUUCCACGAUAUGACUGUCCCACCGUGUAGGAACACGAAACAGGUCUGGGAUCUGGCAUUCUGGGGAUCAGAUAAAUAGCCAGCAUCAGUGUAUCCGAUUAAUUCAGAGUCUUGGUUUUCCUGUUGGAAAUAUAGACAUAGAUCUUUAGUGCCUUGUAGGUAGCGAAAAACUUGCUUGACUCCUACCAAUGACGUUUUGUUGGAGCUGCGCUGUGUCUAGCUAGUAAAUUUACAGCAAAUGCAAUAUCUGGCCGGGUGCAAUUUGCUAGGUACAUUAAUGCUCCAAUGACACUAAGAUAUGGGAAUUCAAAUCCUAAAAUUUCCUCUCCAUCACCUUUUGGUCUGAAUGGAUCUUUCUCUACGUCUAGAGAUCAAACUACCAUAGGUGUUUUGCAUUGAUAGGAUUUGUCCAUGUUAAAUUUCUCUAAGAUUUUCUGGAUAUAUGUAGCUUGGUGAACCAAUAUUCCCGAAGGAAGGUACUCAAAUUGUAAACCUAAGCAGAACUUGGUUUUACCCAAAUCUUUCAUUUUAAAUUCCGUCAUUAGAUAAUUACGAGCUUCAUCUAUAUCCUGUUUGUUGCCAAUGAUGUUUAAAUCAUCAACAUAUACAGAGAUAAUGCAAAAUCCUGUUUUGAAUUUCUUGAUGAAUACACAUAGGCAGUCAUCAUUGUUAGAGUAAUCCUUUUUAAUGAGAAACUCACUUAGUCGGUUGUACCACAUUCUACCCGACUGUUUUAAACCAUAUAAAGAUUUAUUCAACUUUACACAGUACAUGUUGCGUCUUGCGUUAGUAUUCGGAAUUUGGAUCCCAUCGGGAACCUUCAUGUAAAUGUCCGAAUCUAAUGACCCAUAAAGAUAUGCAGUCACGACGUCCAUUAACAGCAUAGAUAGACGAUUUUGAACAGACAAUGAGAUUAAAUAUCGGAAAGUAAUUCCACUCAUAACCGGAGAAUAUGUUUCAUUGAAAUCAAUGCCGGGUCUCUGCGUGAACCCUUGUGCUACUAGUCUCGCUUUGUAUCUCACCACCUCAUUGUUUUCGUUCCUUUUCUGGACAAAAAACCCAUUUGAAUUCCACUGGAAAAACAUUUGGAGGUGUAGGUAUUAUUUCUGUAAAUACCUUUCUUUUAUUGAGCGAGACUAUUUCUGCUUCAAUUGCAUCCUUCCAUUUAGGCCAGUCGGAGCGUUUUUCACACUCAGCUAUGGUCUUUGGAUCAUGAUUAUUUAGAAGGUUGUUUGCAAUCUUAGUAGAGAAAUAAGUGUCGACAAACGUAGUCUUUCUGUUGUAUAUUUCUCCAGUGUCUAAGUAAUUUGUGGAAAUUUCGUUUAUCUUUGGUGACUGUUCGCGAUUUCCCGUUGCGGUCAAGUCUAGGUUUUCCGAUGUCCCAGCAUCAGUAAUUGAGUGCACUAUUGAUCUGAGUUGUGGAUGUUGGUUAUCCACUGGGUGUCUAUUACCCAAUUGAUCUCGGUCAAUUAAAUGUUGACUCACAUUUGUUGUUGUAGAAGGAGGUUCAGAAGGUUUAUUCUUCUGUUUUCUUUGCCGCGGCUCCUUCAUUUGUUCCUUUUGUUGCUUGCUGGAAGCUUGAUCCUUUUUAGUUGUCGUACCUCUCCCCCUCUUCCUUUGAACGGUAGGUGCAGGAGGUUGAGUAGUUUUUAUAGGUACCUCCACUCUUUCGGAUACGUUUUGUGCAUGAUUAUAGGAUUUAGUUACACCUUUGUAAUCAACAAAUGCGUUUGGUAAAUUGUUUGCAAUAUGUUGCAAAUUUAUAAUUUUCUGAACUUGUUGUUCAGUUUCUUGAGUACGUGGAUCUUGAAAGGGCAUUUCUUUCCUAGUUAAUUUUGGUGGUGAUGACAACGUGUGUUGUGGACUAAUCGUGCGUUAAGUAUUUCAGAUUUGAUAUCAAAUGGCGCAAAACGAUUCGAUGCCCUCAAGUUAGAAAACAAAGAGUAGUGGAGUUUUCGCGGCUUUUUCGGUUAUGGAGUCGUAGGAACUCCGUACUAUUAAGAGGGAGUUCACAUGGGAAGGUAAUGGGUGAAUCGCUUUUCACGUACACAAACAAACAUCUUGCAUCCACAUAAAGCCUACCCAAAAAAUGAGAGAGAACCAACCCUAGAGCCUAAUUGGUGUGCAUUUGCCUGCCCAGGUCCGGAAGUUCCGGUGGGGUUCCGGUACACCGGAACUUCCGCCCAACCUCCGGACCAGGUCCGCAACGCUACUGGAAUCCAUUGUGGAUUUCCGGAAGUUGAGCCGGAACAGUGCCGAAACUUCCGGUGACCAGCGGAAGUUCCGCCCCUGGAACUCGCAGUGCAUAACGGUUAGAUUUUGGGGAGUCCAAAUAGAUACCCCUUCAUCCCCAACGGGUUUCUUGUCCGAGCACGAAGCAAAAAACAGCCACCUCUCUCCCAAGAACUUCCUAAGCUUCAUUCUACUAGAUCUCCCUCCAUAAAUUAAGCUUCCCCCUUGUUGAUUCUUUGAGAAUUGGAGGAGAAGACCUAGAUCUAGGGUUCACCAAGUCACAAAGUUGAUUCCCCUUGUUUCUCUUGUGGAUUUCAUUUCUCUUGGGCAUUUGGGAGCUCUAGACGGAAGUGGUUGCCUUGAGCUCUUCCCUUAGGGAUUGUGGAGCUUGAGGAUUGGAUUGGGAGCCUCCAAUUGAGUUGUGGAGCUAGCCUUGGUCAAGUUUGUAAAGGUUCGGUUUUCGCCUUCAAGGAAGUCAUUAGUGGAGCUCACUCACCUUUGUGGUGCCGUGAGAGGAGAAUAGAGUGAGCCUUUGUGGCGUCUCUACCUUUGUGGUAGAGCACUCCUCCAAACGGAGACGUACACCUACCCCAAUCGGUGGAACUCCGGUGAAAUCUUCGUCUCACCUGUGGUAUCCAUUCUUACCCUUCACAUUCUUGUUAUCUAGUUGCUUCGGCUGCUAUUGCACUUCAUCCUAGGGUUGCAUUACCUUUAGAGAAUUUAGUAAACCCUAGGUUAAGUGUUUGUAUCUUUCUAGAAAAAAAAGAUUAAAAUUUUGUUAGUCGCCUAUUCACCCUCCCCUCUAGCCGACCAUACCGAUCUUUCGGAUCUGAGGCUGAAAUGCCUUGGACAUUCCAGUUGAUUUCCUGGCAUUCUUGUUUUUGGUACUUUAAUUCUCCCCCUAAUGCCGGGAAAUGAUCCUCAUUAAAAAUACAAUCAGUGUACCGGGCAGUGAAUAGAUCCCCUGUGAGAGGUUCUAGGUACUUUAUAAUUAACGGUGAUUUGUACCCCACAUAGAUCCCCAAUUUUCUAUGUCGUCCCAUUGAUGUACGUUGUGGUGGUGAGAUCGGUACGUAUGUAGCGCAGCCGAAUUUUCGCAGAUGGGAAAUACUUGGUGGAUUUCCAUGUACUAAUUGAAGGGGAGAAGUAGUAUGAUAUGCAGUUGGUCGCAAUUGAAUUAAAUCAGCGGCAUGUAUAACCGCAUGACCCCAACAAGUUGUUGUUAAAUUACAAUUCUGUAAUAAAGGUCUUGCGAUAAAUUUAAUUCUCUUAAUAAAAGAUUCAGCCAAACCGUUUUGUGUGUGGACAUAUGGGACUGAGUGCUGAACUUCGAUUCCUAAUGCCAUGCAAUAAUCAUUGAAGGCGCGUGAGGAGAAUUCAGCCGCAUUGUCCAUUCGAAUUAUUUUAAUUCGAUGUUCUGGAUAAUGAGCUUUUAGUUUAAUCACUUGGCUCAUUAUAUUUGCGAAUGCAUGGCUACGUGUGGAAAGUAGACACACAGUAGACCAUCUUGUAGAUGCGUCGAUUAAGACCAUGAAAUACCUAAAUGGUCCAGACAAUGGUUGGAUAGGGCCACAAAUAUCCCCUUGAAUUCAUUCAAGGAAUUGGAGUGGUUCCGCUUGUAUUUUAAGAUAAGAAGGUCUUAAAUGAGCUUGCCUUGUGCACAUGCGGUGCAUAAAAAAUCCUGAGAUUUUGGAAUUUUGCUUUAUUAAGAUUAUGACCAAUGGAAUUAUUAAUAAUUUUCCAUAUCAUCCCGAUACCGGGGUGACCAAGACGAUCAUGCCAAGUCUGGAAUGUAUUGACAUUCUGAAAAAUUAUUUUAUACGCAACAUGGGCUACAGGUUUUAUGUAUGUAUAGUACAAUCCGGACGGUAAAGAAGGAAUUUUUUCAAGAAUUUGUUUACCAUAUCUGUUAUGUUUUGUAAAUAAGAGAAAUUCCUCAUUGUUGUCAUCGUGGGUUUCAAUAUGAAUCCCAUUUUGACGGAUAUCCCUAUAACUUAUUAGAGUACGAGUUGAAUCGGGAUACAAUAAAGCGUUCUCGAUUAUUACUUGUGUACCCAUAGGAAGUAUGAUGACGGCACGUUCAGAGCCAACAAGUAUCGCGUCCAGCGAUUGUCAAAAUAUUCCCUUGCGUUUUAGUAAGGGUUUGAAAAUAUUUUUAUUCCCUAAGUAUAUGUUUGUGGUGGCGUUGUCCACAAGGCAAAAGUUUUUCGUCCAUUUUGGAUUGACUCCCGUAGAAAACUAUAUAUGAAAAAUGAAGAAUUUUAAUAUCAUUCUUAAUAGAUAUAUAGAAUACAUACAAAUUUAUUUAUGUAUGAAAUUGAUAAUACAAUAUCGUAAUUUACAAUACAUAUGUCAAAUAUGUAGGUACCAAAGUGCUGAUACAAUAAUGUAAUAUUGCAAUAUAGAUGACAACGGUCACUAUAAUUUAUUUACAACAAUAUUUAGGAACGUAAAUAUAGAUAAUAUCUAUUUCGGAGAUAGGUGAACUAAUUUAGGUCUCCAAACAUAUUAUUUGAAGUGAAUUCAAUGAUCAUGUUCUCCGUGCUCAUUAGAUCCUCAGACGAUCGGAUUGUCGGUUUGUUGCUUGGGUCCUCCUUUAUAUCAUGUGAACAACCGGUUUCCUUGAAAUUGUCGGAUUGGAAAUUGAAGUGUGAUUCAAAUCUUGGUCCUUGAUGAGCAAGUCACUUGCGUCCUACGGAUUGGAGGUACAGAUCUACCAAAUGACGAGGGGUACGGCAUUUCUUUGUAAUAUGCUUGUAGCACCCACAUUUCUGACAAACUUUAGAUUUGUCGUAUUAUGGUUUGAAAGUGCCUUUCCCCUUUUCCUGUACACGUGGCUUGUUUUUCUUGUAGCCCUUUUGCUUGCCUUUGAAGUUGUUUGGUCGAUUAGUCGAUCCAUUGAACUUGUUGUUUUUCUGAAAAUUAGCAUGUACUUCAGGCAAAGGUGCAGCGCCUACAGGACGCUGAUGAUGGUUCCUCAUUAGAAGUUCAUCAUGCUUUUUGGCUUGAAGUAAAACAUGGAUAAGAUCAAAAUAUCUAUUGAAUUGGCGUGCACAAUACUGUUGCUGGAGGAUCCCAUCGAACAGAAGCAUAGUGGAUAAGUUCUUUUCAAUCUUUUCCGCUUCAGAAGGUUCCUUCUCGCAAAAUUGCAACUAGUUUGGAGGGCAAGUCAUAGUGUGUGUGGAUCUUCUUCCAUGAGAUACUCUAAUUUGAGAUCAGCAUGGAUGUGGUUUCUUAUAGUAUAUAAGGCAUUAUAUUUGUAUAAAUCUGCGAUGGGCGGUUGUCCCUCUUGAGGAGGUUGUAUGGCGCUGAAAGACCACAUGACGCAAGGCUCACUUUUACGUCCAUUGCCCAAGUUGGAUAGUUUCGACCGUCGAGAGCGAGUUCCUCAAACUCUUUCCCGGUCAUUUUGUCCUACAUGGGGUUGAAAAACCAUAGAUUUUGUCAAUUACUAGUAGGUAAAGCCAAAAUAUUGUGGUCAUUGUUGUAAUAAAAUUGCAAGAAAAUGCAUGAGAUUUAAUCCAUGUUAAAUUCAUAUAGUGUAUACCUCAAAUAACACUUUGAAGAUAAUCACCGAUUUAUUGGUGUAGAUCUCUCAGCUCUACGCGAAAAAUUCGCUGCUUUCAAUAAGGUUUAUGUUCCCACGGAACAUUCAACGCCAUUUAGCAUUUUACCGUUAUUGAAAGACUGUAGCACCUUGUGUUAUUUUUUAAUUUAAUAUUGGAAGAGCACGUUGAAGGUAGUCAUUGUGUGUAUUCGACACAAUGUAGACCUCUCAGCACUACGUGAAAUAAUUCGCUGCUUUCAAUAAGCUGUACGUUCCCACGGAACAUUCAACACCAUGUAGCAUUUUACCGUUAUUGAAAGUCUACAGUACCUUGUGUUUCGCAUAUAUUAAAUUGAGAUAGUCACAUGGUGAUAAUUUUUGCUUAUCACUAAUGGAGAUUUUUCUUGAAUCAAGUCUAAUUUGGGCUUUUUUUAUGCCAUUUUGGGACUUAAUCGUUGAAGCAAAACUCUCAGAUAUGCAAGAACUAAGAUCUCAAUUGCAAAGGAGUAAAUAUCACAUGUAAUAGGGGAUGUGUAUCAUACAAACACAUUGAACACAACAAUAUUUACAUUGACAUUUACAUAAGAAUAUGUCUUUUAAUAGGAAUCCAUCCUAAAACCACUGGAAUCUAAAUAAAUAUAAGUGCAGGGACCUAUAAGUAUGUAAAAUACUACUGUUAAAUAGAUACAUGGACCAAAUCGCAAAUAGCCAGAAGUUCCGGACUUUUCUGCAAAAUGGCCGUAGCCAGUGGAGGGGGGGCGCGGGCGUGGUCCUGGGCCUCGGCGGCCUUUCGGCUGGCCCAGGUCGGGCCGAGGGGGGGGGGGGGGCGAAAGGGUACAAAGGGGGGUGGGGCGUGCGGUUAGGGUUAGGGUUACCCCGCCCCAACGCUGCCGCCGCCACUGCUCCCCCCAAAUCCCGCCGCUGCCGCCCCGUUGUCGUCGCCGCGAUGCCGCUUCCGCCGCUGCUUCCCCUCCCCUGCGUCGCCGUCGUUGUUAGAGAGAGGGUGGCCCCCCCUCGUUGGAGGAGGAGAGACCGAGGGCGGCCGGGUUCCACCCGCCACCGGCCGGUCCGGUACGGUUAGCCGCCAUGGCGGCCGCGAACUUGCGGAGAAGCCGCCGGGCUUCGAGAUGAACAUUGUCCAGCACCUCUCCGACGUCGUCGUCGGUUGAUGGAGCGGGAUCGGCGGCCGGCGUGGAUUGAGUCGGGGAGGAGAGCGGCGGCGCCAUGCCAUCCCGCGUCGGGCACGGCCUGUGCUCGUGGAUUGGGCAGUACAGCGGCGGUGGAGGUGGCGCAAGAGCGAGGACGAAAUCAUCUUCUUCGCCGAGCAUGCGCGGUGCCGGUCCGAACAAUAUCCAAUCCAUCGAAGGGGUGUAGUGCGGGGAGGCCGGCGUCGUUGUGUCCGUUGGUGCGGCGGCCGGCGGUGUGGCUGUGGUGGGCAUGGCGUGCACCCGAACGGGUCCGACGUCAAGGGGCCCACCGGCGAGUCCAGCGGCGGCGACAACCACGGUAAGCUCCCCGGCAAGGUGCUCCUUUGCCAAAGAACUCGAGAAGGGCAAGAAAAACGAGAGGCAGAUCAUUGAUUGCCAUGCUCCUCACCUUUGUGAUUGUAGAACAAACGUGGCUGAUAACGUGUUAGAAUAAAAUCUGUGUCUUGUCCCAUUGAAUGAUGAUUAUAUUUAUACAAGGGUAAGGAACACCAAUACAUGCAUUGGUGUCCCAAGUUUUGGGCAUUCGCAUCCCAAUUUUCCCAAAAUUGGGACGCGAACAGUUACAAUAUUAACUACCUAAUUAACCAUUAAUUAAUCCUAAUUGAUCCUAAAUAAUUAUUCUCAACAAUAAGCUCAGAUUGUCCAACCACAACAAGACGGCAUGGGAUCGUCCGUGGACUAGUAGCGCGAAUGAACACUUUAACUUUCACCUAUAGCUAGCUUAACUUUCAAAAAAUGCUUAAAAGGGAACUAAGGAGCCCCUGGCUGAUAAGCUCAACAGAAAAGGAUUGGAAAAGGAAGCGAUGGUUCGUCCACAGCAGGAUUCAGACCAGCGCAAUCCCAACAGAUUCCGAGCCUGUCUCCUUAACCAUUCAAACAUAUCCACAAUCGUGUUAGCUGUGACGUAGUUUUAUGUAUAAAUGAAAACUGUAUACAAGAUUGAAUAGCGGACACAACGCAGCAACAGCAGCGGCAACUUUUAUGUUACAGGUAUGUCGACUUCAAGGUUGUUCCACAAUGACCAUCCGGCGGGAUAGUUGAGUCGGGGAGGUUCUAAGUUGAAAUUCCAGACCAUAACUCGGUUGCAAUUGUCUGGAAGACCCUCUAUCUGACGCUCGCUUUUAACAAGCUUCUCAAUAAAUCGUGACUCCUGCAACGAUUAAAUAUUCAGGUCAGCCGAUCAAUUUGAUAUUGGGUCACAAAAAAUAGCCAUGAUGCAGUUCUAUUUUCUUCUGAUAUACUAAUGGACUUAGCUGCUUAAAGAGACUAUUGGUGGCAGUUUACAUUGAUUUUGCCUUCAUAACAAUUUUAUCCAUUUGCUAACCAAUAUUAUGUUUCAUUUCAUGCCACACUGGCCAUUUCUCAGAUAGAAACUGAUUGCAGUUUGCUCCAUGGAGAUCUUGUAGAUAGAAAACCAACCAAGCAGCGACAGAAUUACACAGAAAUAUUUCCAUUGAAUUAUUCUAAUGUGCUUGACUAUGCACAGCGUUGCGAAACAAAACUCACCUGCAAACCGCCUCUUCCACCAGAGUGGACGAUGACAGAAUCCAAAGCUGGGCGGUUCCACCUCUGAGGAUCCCAGAGCAUUGUACUGUUGAAAGCAAACCCAGAAAAACCAAUAGGGAACCGACGAGGUGCACCCUUCUUCUGAAUUGUGUUCCAUCCAGUGAUUCGAUUACCUUUACACACUGGACCUUCUAAAACAACCCUGUACUUACUUCCAUCAUGGAUUGCUACAGGCCAUGUGCCAAAGCGCCUGCAGAAAAAAGAACAAGCUUGUAACAGAGAGAAGGAGAUUCCUUUCAUCUGAAAUUUCUGAUAAGCAGUGUAAAGGCAACCAAAAAAGUGAAUCUGGAUAAUCCAUUAUUGCUUAGGAUGAUGUUUCACCUCCUACAGCAAAUUUACUUCACAGGUUUCACCAUUUAAAGACUACUCACAACUAAUUAAAUUCUUUACAAAUUAUCGCCAUUUUGCAUAUCUUCUCGAGUUAUAGCACCUAAUUUGGUACUCUCAUCAGUCCUCACUAUGCUAAACUGAAAACACAGCAUAGAUUUAUAGUACCUUCUAUUAUAUUUUGGCAGUGAAGAUCAAAUUCAAAACUGCUUUAAAAAUAAUUAAAAAGCUACUGGCUGGAACCUCAUACUGUUUGCCAUAACAAUGAGUUGGUUUGGAAACAAAGAACUUCCUAGACCUGAUUCAGUAUCACUCAUUAAGCAUCUUGGGCGUAGUCCAAACAACUAGUUUAAAAUGAAUUAAAACUGCAAGACUUAGAUUAGGUCCUGUUCUAAGUGGGAUUGUCGAUCUUAAUAAUUUUCAUACUCCCUCAGAUCCAUAAUAAGUGUCGCUGAUUUAGUACAACUUUGUACUGCAUCAAUGACACUUAUUAUGGAUCAGAGGGAGUUCUUUUUUUACAAGGUACAGCAGGCCCAUUCCACUCACAUCAUAGUCCAUAGAUAGGAAAGGUUUUUGUGCCACUGAUACUCACCAGUAUAAGCUAAGUUCAACCAUUCAAAGGUAAGGAACUCUAGGAGAGAGCUUUCUGUUGCAAUGCAAAUACAGAAUACAGACCCAGCACACAACUCUAGGAGCAAAGCUUUCUGUUUUGGCUAUGGUUUACUAAAGAUACCGCUAAUUUCCAGAAAUCCAAGUGAUGGGUAUGCAAUUUUGAAACCCACUGUGUUGUCUGUUAUCAAUAUCCAACUGCAGUACAAGUGUACAUACUAGAAAUGCCCAGAGAUUCCUUGAGAAGGAAGUAUUUAGCACUCUACUCAAUGUUCACUAACUUUGUUAGCAAGGAACAUGUAACACCCAACCUAGCACUGACUUUUGUCAUAAGCAAGGAAGAUGUAACGUUUCACUCACACAAUAUACAUGAGCAAAGGAACAAUGUUUCUAUAGUUUGAUAAGCAUAAUCCCUUUUUCCUGGCAGGGUAAUUCCACAGUUUUAUUUAUACAACAAAAGGGUUCAAAUUCCCGUUUUGAAUCAUCCAUGCAUUCAUAAUUUAUUCAAUAUAUUGGUAGAGCAAAUGAUGUUUUGGUGGAGAAUUGUCACCUGAUUCUCCGCAUUUCUUCAAAUACAUCACCCAUGUAUGAUCGCUCUUCAUCAGCGAAAUGCACUAUACCAUCAAGGUGGUGCUUUUUAAUAUGAUAGAUUGCAUUAUUCCUUUGACAGACAGCAAUCUUCCGUACACUGGUAAUAUUCUUCCUGCAGACAAGAUGCCUGUACAUAACCCCAGAAGACCUCAGGAUUUCUUCUGUCUCAAAGGUAGUACCAGGCCAUUCCACCACUAACCAUAAAAGAGGAGGUGGCACACCUUUCAAAACAUGAGCUAGACGAUUCAAGUAAUACGCCUGUUGUGGCCGAACAGAAGUGACUGUCACCACUAUCAGAAGCUUCCUCACUGGGAUGACCAAAUCAUUAAUAGCGGGUAUUGCACGUGAUGCUUCGACAAAAUCAACCUCAUCAUCCAACAUUGGAGGAACCGGAGGACUCUCUUCAACCUCAGGCUCGUCAAUCACCUCAACCUCUUUCUGCACUACGAUUGCAUCCAAUUCCUUAACUUUACCAUCCACCAUUUCCCUCUCAACCACCCCAUUAUCGAAUGGAAGCUCUGAGACUAUCUUCUGGGAGACAUCAACCGAGAAGAAUGGCGUGAACCCAAUGAAGAUGCCGACCAAGAAACAUACAAACAGCCGAAAUGCAACUCUCUUGCAGAUCAGGCACUUAGAUUUUGAUCUCUCGGGCGAUCGCCAUGUGGAUCUGAGCCUGCUUGACCACAAAACAAAGUCCAGAGAGGCCAACGAAGCCAGCAGCCCCCUCAUCACGACGUACGACUGCGAAUAUAGCAAUUUAGGAGAUGGCGAGGGGUCAGCAAACUGGGACCAGUCCUUGGCCUGGCCGUCUCGGUGGAAUGCCCCUGUGGAAUUCCUUCUGCUAGACACCAUUCCAAUAUCAUUAUGCAUGUAUGCCUCCUAAAUUUCUCAGAAGCGCUUGCGUUUUAGUCCAGGAACACUGCUCUUACUAUCACUUCUGAUCAUGCGGACAAAUGAAGCGGAAUUGUACCUGCAAAAUAACCAGUUGCAAGAAUUGCCUCUGAUCAGCUCAAAAUAAAACUACAUAGGCUCAUCCAUCCACAUAACAUGCAAAAUUAGAACCUCUUCUACUACAGUAGUUCAGCCAGCGAGAUCUGCAAGAGCACCGCAGAGACACAGAUAGGAGACAUCUCCCCACACCAACCGACUAAAUCAACUAGCUACUCCAGAUUGCCAAAACCAGGAUCACCUACCAGGCUGGGGGCGGAGCUACAGCGGCACAAGGGUGCAUACCCACUAGUUUUGGCAAAUAAAACUAAUUAGGAAAUAUGCUACUAUGAAAUACAAAGCAAUUCGAAAAGGAUUUCAACCAAGCAGCCCACUUUUUAUUCACCUCAUUUUCGCCCCCAAAAUCCCAUUCAUCCAGCCCAACAUGCAAAAAAAAAAAGCACAACCGGCUGCUGCAACUCCAGGAACCCCAAUUGGAACGGAAAUCAAUCGGAGGCAAGCAGCCGUGCGGGUUACAGGUGCGGAUCUAGAACGUGUGCACCCGGAAAUUGUGAAGAGCAGUGGGAAUUAUCUAUUUGGGGGCGGGCGGAGAGGAGAGGAGAGCGAGGUGAGGUAGGAGAAAGGGGAUGAAGCUUGACUUACAGCUUGCAACGGCUGAGGAGAUCACUGCCGUCGCGGAAGUCACGGAGCGAGGCGGCCGGCCCUGGCCCCUGGGUUGGCGCUGUAGUGACGCAGCGACGCCAGCCGGGCAGGGUUAGCGCGGCCGUCGAGGGAGAGACAGAGCGGCGGCGCAACCGGCCGGGAUUAGCACCGUGGAGGAAGGGAGCGCCGUUGAGGGGAGAGAGCACGGCUAGAUCGUGGGGAAUUUCGGAUCGGGACCUCGGCUGUGCUAUGCCGUGGUAGGAGGAAGAGGAACAAGCACGCCCUCCCCCAACGACGGGUGCCUUGUGCAGUGGUUGAAACCAAGCUCCAAUGAUACCGUUUCCUUCUUCGUGUAAAUAGCUAUGCAUUUUUCAGUAGAACUUUUGAACAUUAUUUUAUGUGUUGAAUGAAAAAUUUACAGGCAAGGACAAAGGAACAAUGAUAUUAGUACUGUAGUAGAAGUUCUCAAAGGACCAUAUUUUCUACGCUUACGUGUUCUAGAAUCAGAAGACGUGUAUACUUGUGACUGAUUAAUUCUUUUAUGACCGGAUCUUGACACUUUCUCCAAUAAAUAUAAUGGGAAGAAAUAGUGAGAACCAGUAGUAAUCAGCAUGGCAACCUCAAGGUCUCUAGGGUAAUCACACACCAGAGCACGACUUUCUGCGAUAUGACAUCAAUUAACAGCCCAAGCUUAUUGUACUAACGUGUCCCUCUCACCAGAAGCCGAUGUUUCUCUCCAAGUGCAACCUGACAACAAGAAAAAACCCAAGAAAAUUUAGCCAGGAAAAUAGGGUCAUUUGUGAGUCAGCGAUAACGCACAGCUUAAACCGGUGGCGCAGGACCGGUCGUGAGUCGGGCCUCGAUCCUCAAGGUUGCUACGUGGCGCUCAUCGGAGACCACCAGAUGCCAGAUUUAACGGCCUCCGUGUCGCCUGGCGGUAGGUGGUGCAUGACGGCUGGGCCCCAGUCAGCAGCGCCCUACCUACCUGCGCAAUAGUUGGCCCGGUCGGCGGCGACGGCGAGUCGUUGUAGUGGUUACCACGUCGGCUGAUUGUAUCCAACGGCAAGAAGCAUGGAUCAUUUGUACUGAGACGGAUCGCGAGAAGCAUGUGGGUCCCGUAUGCAGUGACGUGCACGUGCAUUCGGUUGUGCUUACUGCUGGCUUUUCACAACGGAAUAUUCAGCGACCGGCGGGGACAAAGGGAAGAGUGGCCCACGUGCUCAAUUCCUUCCGCUUGUGAGUAACUAUAACAUAAUCGUGUUUUUGUUCUUUAGACAAAAUGUAACAACCUAAUCAUGUUGUGGUUCGGCUGCUUAGUCUUUUAGUCGAAAUGGCCGUCCGAUUAUUCUUCCCCUUUGCCAGCCCCAUAUGAUUGGCGUUGGCGAGAAAGAAUGUACUCCCUAAGCAUUUUCAGUAUUGAACUAGAGUGAAGCGUUACUUUGAUUCAAAGGAUUUUCAUAGGGAUUUUGGAGGAUUUGAAUCCUUAGGAUUUUUUUCAUAUGAGUUGUUUGAUUUGUAGGAUUGAAUCCCAUGAAUUUUUUUCCUAAGGAUUUUAUUGCAUUACAGUAGGAAUUUUUCGAUCCACUCCAAUCUUUUUUUCAAAUUCCUUUGUUUUUCGUGUGCUCAAUCAAACAAACAUUGGUCUAACCACAAUCAUGUAGGUUUCGAAUGGCCAUGACAUUGCAAUUCUACAGUUUUCGUAUUCUUGUAUUUUUUUAUCCUGCGAAUCAAAGAGGCCCGAGACCUUUUUUUUAAAGCUUGUGAGUACUAGUAAUUGAGUACAUGUGGACUAUUGAUACGUACAGUACUGCCUAAGCAUCUUCAGUAUUGAACUAGAGUGAAUAUCUAGAUUUUUAGUCGAGUCGGCCGGAUACGAUGCAUAUAUAGAUUUGGCUUUUUUUUAGAAAAUCUAUAGCUAGCUAGCUAGGUACGCCCUGCGUUUCCUAUCUAUCUAGUAAUAACAAAUCUCAGUUGUUGGAGCGACUACAACAACUGAUCAAUCGGUCAGCCUCCACACGCAGGUCUACCAGAAACAAUGUUGUUGGCGUUUCAUGAUGCAUGUCGUGAAUGCUUUGCUUAAAGCUCCUCCUCCAACUAAUCCCAUUAGCUGAUGCUGACACUCGUGUAUGCACCAACUACGUUAAGAAAAAGAAAAAAGAAUCCUUUACAAAAGAAUUGAGAAAGGAACCAGUUCUCAGGACAAUUUGCACCGACGACGACCGGUUCGUACAUCGAUCCUGCUGUCUGGUUCACAUUUGCACUGGAUUAACUGGUAUAUACCUUUCCUGUUCCCCAUUUCAUGUAUCUCUCUCGAUGUUCGAUUAGUCAGCAUUUUGUGAUGUCUUUGUGUGGGGGGAAAAACUCGAGUCUAAAAAAAAAUGCAGGCCUUGUGUUACACUGCAAUUAAAGAUUACUGUUCGUAAUUGGUUCGUUCCCAUUCGAAUUGAUCAAGUGAUCAUUAUAUUUAACACUUUUAGUUAUCAGUGUCUUCUUCCCCGGCGUGCUUCUAUUAAUUAACCUGAUAAAGCAUUCACAUGUGCACUUUGUAUAACAUGACUGCAGAAGAGAGUGUUGUUGCAAACAAACGCGAGAUUAGAUUACUCUGGUGUUGCCACUAACCAAAGGCAUGAUGCGGCCAUGCAGGUCCAGCAUGAUUGUCAUCAAAAGUGACCGGCCAUGUGCUCCCUUUUUUUAAGAACUACAGUAAAACAGAUGGCAGAUGGGAAUGCGGAGGCGGAGAAAAUGGCUGGCAAAUGUUUCGGUGAUACUCGUUGUAAGUCUGGGCCUAUUCUUGCUAGGCACUUUCAAACGGGCUCUCUCACCAAAAAAAGAGGGGAAAAAACGGCUUAACGGGCUGUAUGCCUAGAAAGCUUAAUGGAGUCUACUAACUGGGCUUGGGCCUUCCUCCAAAAAAGGUUUUGGGUGGUCGCGGUGGUGUGUGUGGGGGCGCCUGGUGGUUAAGAAAGUUUAAUUAAUAUAAAUUGUGCGCCAUGGCUCUUCCUCUUCUGUGACGACACUUUACCGGACGAAGCAGAGAUAUCUUUCAUCCACAGGUUCGAUGUGUGUGAUCUUGCGAACUUUAGGUUCGUUUCCUCGCAGAACCGCUCAUACAUAUAUGAUGAGUUGUUGCUAGUGUGUCCUAGUGCUUUUAUUGGCAUGGUUUUUCUAUGGCAUUUGAGUCUUUCUUUGAUGUUCAGAUCAAGACUAGACGGGCCAGCGCGCUUCGCUGCGCCGUCGUUUUAUGAGUCUUGAGUUAUUAAUCUUUGAAAUUUUGGAUUUUUGCUAUAUUUAUACAAGAGCGGGGCUGCUUAAGCACAUAACCAACAUCGUUUUUCAUGCCUGGACAAUAAAAGCAUAAUAAAUUAACCACCUUGCAUGUAAGAAUGCGUGUCUACAAUGAUGCGUAUAGAACGAUAGCAUAUUUCCAAAAUUUUCCGUACUUGUUUGGCUCCAAGGUAAUUUCAUAGUUCUGCAGGAAAGUAGCAAAUUCAAUAAUUAACACAAUUCUAGAGCCAAAAUAUGUAGUGCCAUGUCCUCAAAAACAGAAAAAAAAAAUGAAGCUUUGAUUUCACAGAGCCACCAACAAUAUCCAACCAAACAAUCAACCAAUCGGAAGAUCUCCGUAAAUUAAAACUUCAGAAAAAAUGGUUAUCUUAAGGAGCAUAGUUAACAGAGAAAACUAACAAACGAAAAAGUCUAACUUCUUGAAGUAUUUCCCAUACAAUCGGUAUCAUUCUUGACCGAAAAAUGGUUAUCUUAAGGAGCAUAGUUACCAGAGAAAACUAACAAAGAAAAACUGAACAAUUCAUAUAAUCUUCUGGAUGACCUGUGACCUUCAAGAUUCAUCAGUUAAAACCGAACAAUUCAAUAAAAGCUUUUGGAUGACCUGUAACCUUCAAGAUCAUCAGUCAAUGCUUUACAUAGAAGGAACCAACAAACCUGUCUAAUGCUUCACCUGUAAAAAAGAGAAGCACCGGGCAUUUUAGGCACUUGUGUUCUAUUAAACAAAUCUCACAGUAUUCCUAUGAGAAAUCAGAAUUUUUCAAUCAACAUAACAAACUGAAAGAAAGCGCGAACAUGAUGUAUUGAUUCUUGACACAAGGAAAUGAACUCAAAUGAUACAUGCAUAUGGAACAUUUAUAGUUUUAUGUGAACUCUAGAAAAAUAUGUACCAAAUUAGCAUCAUUUUAUUUUUCAACUAUUACAAAAGAAUUGAGAAAUUUCUUUGAUUCCGUAUGAUCAUGAAGUCAGCACCAUUAGGUGUUUCAAAUAACAGAAGGAACAUGCUUAGUAGAAGGGAACCUCUCAGCACUAUCUAGCUUCCUUCCAACACAAAUUUUCUCUAGAGCAAUUACAGGAGUAUCUUUAAGUAACAUAAAUAACCAAUCAAAAGAUCUAGGAAUUGCAAGUUUGUACAACAACCAUUACAUGCCAUUUGGUUUCAAUAGAAAAUAAUAAGAGGAACAACACAACCGAUGAACUUGAAUUUCAUACUACUAAACGACAUAUCCAUGAUACAUUGGAGCAGGUUAACAAAAAUCCGAAGACGUCGAGAAAAAGAAGAUAGCUUUCUCACUACGGGAAGAAACAAUAUAACAUGAUCACAUCUUUAAAUGACAUAUCUCGGCUCUAAGAUAGCGCAAACACAGUAGACAGAAGUUUAGGGAAAAUAAAAACCACUAACCUUGGUCAAGUGUAAAGUUAAAUCAUGUUAAUAAACCCUGAACCAUGUCGUCCUCGGAACUGUGGAAUGCAAAGAUGUACUAAGCACAGAAGUGGGGUUUGCUUCAGUCAUUGUUACACCACAAUAAUUUGGAGAGCAUGAAAUCCAAAUCCAAAUCUUUCACUAUUAAACAUACAAUAAUUACUCACAAGCACACGAACUACAUAGGAGCAUAUUUAGCACCAUGAUUAGCACUGUCGUAAUCAGCGAAAGCGGUUGGGAAAGCUAAGGCAAAUAUUCCAGCAGGCCAGACUACCAAAGGGCAAGCCCAACUAAGGAGAGAACUAAAAAUCAAGCACCACCACCUCAAAAUAAUCAUUUCAGCCCAUAAGGUCAGGAUGAUCUCUAGCUAAAACUGCACCGGAGAGAUUAGCAUCAGUGCAAGAACAGAUUAACAAAAUUGCACAAGAAAGGGAAAUGGUGUAAGGGCUGAAUUUGCUGCACAAUUGGAGGAAAAGGUUCUUCUCUCUCCCAACUUUGCAUACACAUAGCAAAUUAUAAUUUCCUAGCAGCACCAUCCAUCCAUCCAUCCAGAACCUUAAUUCACAGCCUGCAAAUUGCAAGAAGCCUCGAACAAACUUGUCAAUUUGUCCUAUAUACACAGCCUGAAGCACUACAGCGAAAUCUAAAACAAGGUUAAUGCUGUCCUGUGUACACUGAGAUUCAGAAUCGAAAUUCACCAACAAUUUUGACUCUAGCUAGUUCUUUAGGACAGAACAAGAAGUAGGAAAGAUCCAACCUGAGAGGUAAGCAAUGCAUCAUCUGGUGGAUCCUAAUGGCACAAAGGAAAAGAAAUAGACCACUGACCAACACGAAAAUAACUUGGAUCUCAAGGAGAAGAGGAGGAGGGAGAUCUUGAGGAGCAAUAAGAAACAAAUUGGAUUGAAUCUCAAAUGGAUGGGAUGUAGAACACAAACCGGCGGGUUUGGUCUCUCUCGGGCACCCCUGUGCGCGCUCACUGGUGGCCGGUAUCCACGGCCCGCUUGUGGCCCUGCCCUGCGCCGACUCUUUCGCUUUGGCGCCGGCGGCGUCACGCGGCCAUCUCGCCUAGCCGACCACGACCACCACCUGAACCUCAUCGGCCAGUUCAGCCCUAGAAGAACGCCAUGGCCAGAACGGGCGGCUACCAAAGUACAGCAAAACAAAAACAAAAGGAAAUGGUUUCUUCAGACCUGGGGCAUCAACAAAUCCACCAAAGUACAUCAAAACAAAAAUGAAUAGUGGAGUAUGCACAUCAAACACAUCGAAGCAUUGGUUCCUAAAUUCCUUGGGAAAAUAACAGCGGAGACAUAUCCAAAAAUCCAUCAGAAAACCCCCCAAAAGAACACGGAACACCUCCUCACCGAAUUUCGAAAAGUGGUACACGAAUUGAAACACGGUCAGACCAGGAGUGGCGGACGGCAACGUUGGCGAUGCAGAGAGAGAUGAUCAGUGAAGAGAGCGUUCGAGGAAGGCUCGGGAAGGAUCGAGAAGGGCUUCGAGGCUGAUAGUGGGCCACACGGCGAUCGGCCAGAGAAAAAGAAAAUCAACCGAUGGUAGGGAUCGUGACACGCUAACGGCAUAGAUGCAAACACGUGGAUGCAAGAAUGAGGCCUCAAAUCUUUCGCCUUUAGAGAAGGGAGAUUUUAUGGUUCGAUGGCCUGUAUCUUCAUGGGACCAUCCCAUCCAAGUACGUUUAAUGCUCAUGUCCCAUCUUUCUUUACGGGUGACUUGAGAGGGCUUUUUGAAACCUUCAAAGGUAAUCGAGUUCGUGUAGGUGUUCGAGUAGCGGCGUCCCUACUACAGUCUAAUUGCAACGUCUUUACUGAAGCCCCGAUGGCACUCCAUGUGGCAAAGAUAGAUACGAUGGAGAAGUUUGCUUUUAAAGACUUCAAUGAUGUUCUUAGUUCCAAGAGUUGCUUUUUAGUUUCUUGCAUUUAAUCCAAAACACUGUAAUAGAUGUCGAGUUUGGAUAAAACUACAUGUGACUCAAAAAAAGCAUGGAGAUAUUUUUUAAAAGGUGUGGUCAUAAGCGUCUGAUUUUUAAGAAAAAACUUAAAUCUCAGUUGAUGCAUUGAAGCCAUUGGAUUAAAAUCUGUAUGACAUCCCCACUCUCUCUCCUGUCACACAUGUUGUCAUUGGAUUGAGAUCUGACGGCCAAACACGUUGACUGAUCUCUAACUAACUAAUUCGCAAAAAAAAGUAAAAAUUACUCCAUGCGAUCCUAAAUUGUUGUUGUGAAUUUAGUUCUAAAUUGUUGUCAUGAAUUUAGUUCUGAACUAAAUUAAUGACUCAAUUAACGACAACAAUUUAGGAUCGGAACAAGUUGCUGAUUUCUCAACAGCAAAAUUUUAAAAAAUGUACCUACAGCUGAUAAACGGGCUGGCUCACGAAAACAAGCUUAACAGUGUUAACAGAAUACAUCAACACCGAGACACAUAGUAUAUCACUGGCUUGUAAAUUGCGCACAAACUUCUUUAGCGUCCAAAAAAAAGAUUGUAUACGUCUUGAAAACAUUUACAAACUACGAUAAAAAAAAAGCAGAACGGUUCAUCGAGUCGUAGCUAUCACGGGCCAGGACAGGCGCGUACGUAUGGCAGGUCCGUCCGUUGACCUGUGAAAGCAGCCCAGUACUCACAUGCCAUCCAGCAAGAGCAGACUCCGACCGACUCCCCCAGCAGCCCGGCAGCACCCACGCGGCCCUGCAAGUCAUUUGCCACGCACGGUCACGGAAAAAACGCAGCAGCGCAAUGCCUGGGCACGGCACGGGGCCGGGGGACAAGCAACAAACAAUUGAUUGCCAUGGCGAAGAACUGAAGAAGUCUGGUGAUGCACGGAUGGAUGGGCUCGCCAUGCACGGGGGCAUGGGGCCGGAUGGCUCUCACUCCAUGCAGUUUGCUCUUUUGUCCUCGCCGAUGGGGCGGGCAGCCGGGGCCGGGCAAACGUUGGAAAGGAACAUGGCGGGGCUGGAUGGAUAUGGAUCGUCAUCAUGGCUGCCGCUGCACGGGCCUCGCUUGCCGGCCGGCAUGCAUGCAAGAGCGCCAGGGUUUUUUUGGACGCGCGGAGCUAGACAUCGAUCCAUCCAUCGAGUUUGUUGUUCUGCUGCGGCCAAAAUCAUCAACCGGUCGUUCUAAUUUAAAACCGUGUCAAUCUUUCUUUAUGUAACGGAGGAAGUAGGCUUUAUGCAUGAUCAACACGGAUGAUGGAUGGAGGAAGAUCAUUCAUUCACGUACGCGGCUACUAUUGUGUAAUUGUUGACCGGUCUGGCGAUUUUUAUUUAUCAAAUCAAAGCGUGUGAUUAGGCAGUAGAGCAACAGCUGACAUAGACUCGCAUAGAGUAUACCGAAGUUCCUUCAUCCUCUUGCGAGAUGUUAAAUGCAUCGAUCCGGUAGGCGCUCCAUUACUCCUGGCUCCAUAUCUCGAGUAUAGGCUGCAGCUUCACUGUUCUGGUCAUCUGUUGUGCAAUUAUCCUUGGCAGUUGCAGGAGCGAUAGAGCAGUACUACGGGAGGUAGCCAGAGCAGGGGAGGAAGGAAGUUAAUGCGGGCGCUCUCGAGCACCUGUGGCAAUGUAUGAUGGCCGGCGAGGUGACCGAGCGGCCGGUGCUGUGAUGAUGCGCGCGUGGAAGGCCGGCCGGGGAGUACGUGUAUCAGCACACAGAGGCCAGUAAAUGCACUCGCAGCUGCUUGUACUGGUACGUAGUGCCGAUCGAUCGAUGGUCGAUGAGCUAUAGAGCAGGGCUGCAGGUGCUGCUGGCCUGCUACGGCGCCGCGCACGCCUGCGCAGGCGCAGCGCAGGCUGCAGGCGA